AAAAUAAAAAAUCUCAUAAAAAAUAAUGAUAAAAGACUUGAUUUAAGAUCAGAGAUACUGAUCUAUCCAUUCCAAAUAGUGAAAAAAAAAUUUCAUAAAUAUAUUUUAUUAGAUUUGGGAUUGUUUUACACCGUAUUAAUUCCACAAAGCACACAUCUACCAUUAAAUUAUCAAUUUUGAAACCUUUUGAUCACUAGCCAAAUAAUGUCUAAAAAUUAUGAAAUUUAGUUUCCAAAUACUUUUAAUAAGUAUAGAUCAAGUCUAACGGAGCCAAUCGUCGAUUUGGAAACCGCGUCAUGAAAACACACUGGUACAUGGAGGCCUCCGUACUACGCAUAGUAUACCAGCCUAUAUAUAUAUAUAUAUAUAUAUAUUAUAUAUAUAUAAUAUAUUACUCCUAUGCUUUCGAAAGUACGAAAGCAUCCGUACUUGUAAGUUGUUUUCAAUAAUGGACAUCCGAUUCGACGAUCGUUCCGUUAGACAUGAUCUAACCUAUUAGAACUACAUAGAAACCAAAUUUCAUAAUUUUUUGACUCGCGUUUGUCUAAGUAAACGAGUAGCCUCAAAAUGAACGGCUAAAAAUAAAAAUCUCAUUAAAAAAACAGUGAUAAAGGACUCAAAUUUCAAAUCGAAAGUAUUGGUCUUGCUAUUGAUGUUAAGUAGAGUUUUUUUAUUAAAUUUUCAUCUAAUUUGGAUACUAUACACGCUGAACUUAAAAACGUGCCACAUCGGCCUGUUAAAAUAGUCAUUUUUGAAGACCUUUUGAUCGUUUCGUAAAUGAGUCAAAAAAUUAUAAAAUUUGGUUUUUAAAUAGUGCCAAUAGAGUAAAUUAUAUUUAACGGAGCGCGAUCGUCGAAUCGGAUUUCCUAUCAUCGAAACAACUUACAAGCAUGAAUUUUCGUACUUUCGAAAGUACACGGAGACUUACUAUAUAUAUAUAUAUAUAUAGGCUACUAUGUUAUUAAUAGCACCAAGUCAUUGGUGCUACCAAGUUUUAGCUAUUGGAUUAAGAGAUUUGUGGUUAGGAUGAUGUGGGCCUCUAGGGUUGAGUGGGUGGUUGGUUGGAUUAAUAGCAUAGUAGCCGGACUCAUAUAUUAUAUAUUGUCAGCCCGGAUUACAGUUUUCUCGGGCACGCCAACAGCCGCGCAUAUGCAUAGAAAUUUUUCUUGUAUACGAAGCGAUAGCUGUACCUAUAAAUAAAUCAAGCUACAACCAAAAGUAAUGAACGUGGCUAAACUAAAACAAUGUCACGCCCCAAUCCGCCGCCAAUUUGGUCGGUGUUCGGUCACGUCAACAGACGCGAACGGACAGAGCCCCCCUGUCCGACCAAGGCUCUAACAACAUGUAUAAAUAGGCAAUUCAACAAGAGAAUUGCAUAUAUAUACAAGGCUUGCACGAGGGCAAGCAGCAACGGAAGCGAAAGCUUCAAGCUAAAUAUAAUCACACCAUGAUAUUUGAUUUCAUUUAAACCAAAUUUAAGUAAACAAAGCUAUUACACUUCCAUUCACAUCAUAUCUUUUACAUUUAGUCAUCCACACAAAAACAUGAUUGUUUACAACUUUACAUCUCUAAUUCAACAAAAUAAAGCUGCUACAUGUACAACCAAAAGGAAAAUGACUACAAAAUGUAAUGCUACUCCGGUGCCGCUACUACGGCCGCUAAACCCUUGCCUCGGUCCUCCGCCGCCCCACUCGUGCUAGGACCUGUAGGUUAGUGUGUGUGAGAAACUAACAACGAAGUUCCCAGUGGGCUCGGCAUCCGAUCUCGCCGACUUACCCACUAGGUUAUCCAGGCAUAAGUAUUUCAAGGAGGAAAUAACGCAUACUAUGCAACUAAUAUUAUGCCUGCAAGAAAGAAGUCACGUAGAAUUAUAAUUUCAAUGCGGAUAAUGGAAAUGCAUGCAUGCUCCAAUAAUAUAAUGCAAACUUUGCGCUCUUACCGCAAUCUUUACGCGGUUAACUCUGUUAAGGCCCAAAUAACUCACAACCCAAAAUCCUUAAUAACGGGGACUCGAACCUCCUAGGCGAACCGUCAUACUGGUGGGAGCUUUACCGACGCCAGUGGUGACGCAACUCCCGGAGCGCACCGCUCGAGGGUGGAGCGAACUCCUCAAGCGGCAAGACGAAAUCGUGAGUAUCGAUCUAAUCUCAACUUUGGGACUCAUAGCCACUUAGUCACAAUGCAAUGUUCGAUAGGUCUCUACCUAUCAGUUCUUGCCAACUCUCAAUUGGCUUUACCUUUGAACGAUGUCAAAAUGGGUUAAACUAUAUUCAAUCGGUUCAUCUCUCAAUGCAAUCUUAUUUCUAGGUGUCAAUGUCACCCUUCGUUUUGUAUUAUCCAAGUUCCAUUCUCACAUUCACACAACUUGAGGCGUCCACUACACAUGUCCAUUUUGGUUCUAUCAUCCUCUAUGUUCAACUACGUUAGAAGCAUAUAAAUGAAGUCAAACCAAGUUCCACAUGUAACUUACCUACUAUGCGUGAAUGGGUAUAUAUAAUAGAACAAUAUGCUCAAAGAAUAAGAGAAACAGACAUAGAAGCGAAUCCAACUGAAUUCCGGCGUGCACCCCCACGCUCUAGUAAUCGUGUGGUGUAGAUUACGAAAGCUCCCCGCACUUUACGAAAGCCGAUUCCGCGCCUAUAAUCAAAAUAGUGCCAUAUUAGGCCUUUUUGUACAAUGAACUAUGUUCUAACAUUUUCAUAAUGUCAAACGGAGUUGCCCAACGCUGUUUAGGGCACCCCCAAUUAGGUUUCUACGGUCAAUUUAUCCCCGAAAAAUCCUAGGAAAAAAAAACCCAAAUUCAAGCCUAAUGUUGUCCAAUUUAGGGUUUUCCCAAGAACUGACCCAAUCCUAGCACAACAAUAGCUUGAUCAUCUAAGAAGCAUCCUAGUAAGGUUUCUAGACCCUUGGAACCAACCCUAGAGGCUUCCAUGGGCAAACCCUACCAACCACAUGAGAGCACUUGAGCUCUCAUGGGCUCCAUGGAGUCAAAGGCAUAUUAGAAGGUCUCCCAUGGCCAAAAACAACCAAAGCGUCCAAAACAUAGGGAUUAAAACGCAAAGCCCUAGACUCAUUUAUACCAAAAACUCACCUUAGCCCAAGCUCCUCCAAGUCCUUCUUGUAGGAGAGCUUGUAGAACCCUCCAAAGCCUCCAAAUCCACCUUCUCUUGCUUCUUCUUCUUCUUCUCCAAGCCCUAGAGCAAGAGUUCUAGAGAGAGAAAGAGAGGAAAAGGGAGAGAAGGGUAAAAAUGGCUGUGGGAGAGAGAGGGGUGUCCACAUAUAGUGUUGUGACAAUUGCAUUUAAGCCCCUCAACUUAUUUCCCCUUGAUCUGCCCAGACUGGGCGUUUUUCGCCUUCGGGGACCGGUCUCCCCGACCAGGGACCGGUUCCCGAACGGGGGUUUUCCAGGACUUAGCCAAAUUUUCGAGUUUUCGGCUGUUGCGCAGCGAGGGACCGGUCUGCCCCUCCAGGGACCGGUCUCCCGAGGACCGGUCUCACCACCAAGGACCGGUUGCCUCAGGACUUCCUGGCAGGCUACGCGUACGGGGACCGGUCUCUCCUUCAGGGACCGGUCCCCGAGAGCUCAAAAUCUGGGACUUAGCCAGAUUUUCAAAUUUGCUCUCCGGGUCCCCUUUUGCUCCGUUUAAGAACUCCAAUGCACUUUGGGUUCGCUUUAACCCGUUCAAUUUCGCGUUCCGCUCGUGUUAACGGAACUCGACGCGAUUUACGAGGGAUGUGGUAUGUUACAAAACAUAUAUAUAUAAAUAAAGCUCGGGGGUUCAAGUACAUACAAAAAGGUCUACUACAUCACUCGCUCCAGCGAGUACCCAGACAACACCAUAUGUACAUGAAAAAUCCCAAAACUACCUAUAGGAGGUACUCCUCUAGCCCUGCAACUCGUCUGGAAGGGAUCUAGCUCGCAACUCCCUUUCCACGAUCAGUAUCAGGAACAACAGCAACCGCAGAAGAUGGCUCUGCAAAAGGGGUCAAUAACUGGUUACGAGAACUACUGCAAAAAGAAAUAGUCCUCAGUGGGUACCGCUACCGACCUCAAUGGCUCACCCACUAAGUCUACAGAAAGUGUACAGGAAGAUAGUAAAGGAAGCUGAUACAAACCCUACAGUUAUAUGCCACUAUACUAUCGCUAACCAAUACUAGAUAUCUGUAGAUGUAACAUACUGCAAUCUCUGAUCCAAUCUCAUUAGGGACUGUGAACGCACCCGUCCUGCCUACCGAAGCUACACCAACUACCACCACGCUGGGUUGUUGGUGGAGAGCAAGUCCAACCAGGACACUACAACAUUAACGCAAACGCAUUAAGCCCGACUCCGGAGUGACACUCGUGGGCGCUACCCAACCGAGUAUGUAAGCGUGUCUCUGCUGAGCUCAAUCAGGCUCUUGCAGGCUAUACUCAAAGCAACUGGGUUUAACUGGUUUAACAACCAAAGCUCACGUGCCCUCGGCACAAUCUGAUGUAAGGUACAAAAAUCUGGAUCCACCGUCAAUCGCGACGGCACCCGACAGUCAGAAACAGUCUACACACAACUGUAAAAUAAGCUCGGGAUCCCAGCACGAGCGUAAAAUUCAUCCUACACUAAUCUGAGUAUCCACUGCGUACAAACUGCGGCGAUACAGUCAAACUACAGUUCCUAAAGCUAAAUCUGGUAGUUUUCAGAAAGUUACAAUGUAAAAUUUAAUAGUUUUCUCCUAAGUCAAUUUCAAGUCCAACAUAGAAAUUAAACUACUAGCUUAACUCCAAAUUCAGAUUUAAAUAAUAAUCCAUGAAUUCGAGUACUAGCAAUAAACUACACAGUUAAUACAUGUCGACGAUGCUAAAACUUAGAAGAUAAUCCGACGAUUUCGGUAAACUUCUACCCACCUCUAAAAGCUAGUCCAACUCCGGCGAAAAGUCGAGAGAAGGUAAAACCCACGCUCGCCAGACCUCCAAACGAUGCAACCGUCAUUGUCGCGCGCUCGAACGGCACCCUGGCGCAAUGUCGAUGUCGAUCCGAGCUCAAACCGCAGCCUCCACCACGCUCGGGUCCGCCAACUAGAGAGAGAGAGAGAGGAGAAAAAGAAGAACCGACCAAGAACCCCUCUCUGUCAACAUAUAGAGGCUGGAAAACUUUGGGUUGAACGACACAACAAAUGGACCAAAAUGCCCUUUACCAACUCAAAAUCCCAGUUGGAGUACCAGUACCAAAUUUGGUCACCGGUACUCGGCCUCUCAGCCCGCAGCUUCGCACAUCCGGUAUUAGUACCAUCGGGUACGCGUACUAGGCCGGAUGCUGUACCGGUACUUGGCAUCAAAAUUGCAAACCCGAUAGCAGUCUAUCCAGAAAAUACACUCGGGUACCGAUACUCCCUUGCGUGGUACCGGUACGCAAUACUGAAAACUGCACUUUGCAGAUUCCAUUAUUAAAACUUGCUCUCGCGUCGGCGAGUCCGUUUUGCGUCCAAUUCGCGCAGAAAUGACUCGGACUUGUCCCGACACUCUUCAGACGUGUCGACAAGCCUCGGAUGCUGAAAUCCACGAGCAACCCAAACUAGGGAUACUAUAUAUAUAUAUUUAUAUAUAUUAUAUAUAUAUAUAUAUAUAUAUAUAUAAAUAUAUAUGCUACUAUACUAUCAAUAGUACCAAGCCCUUGUACUAUUGAGUUUUGGCCGUUGGAUGAAAGGAUGCGCGUUAGGAUGAUAGUGGUCCCCAGGGUUGAGUGGGUGAUUGGUUUAAUUGUAUAAUCUAACGGGUGGAAAUGAUCAAAGGAUAGAUCUAACGUAGAAAACUCAAUAGUACCAAAGGCUUGAUACUAUCAAUAGUAUAGUACCGGACUCAUAUAUAUAUAUAUAUAUAUAUAUAUAUAUAUAUAUAUAUAUAUAUAUAUAAAUGCAAUGCACGUCACAUCUAUAAAUUAAAUUUAAAUUUAAAUUUCAAAUUAAAAUAAAUUUUGAAUCUAUAUUUCAAUUUAAAUGGUUAUUGAUAGCAGAGUUUAUUUUCUAAUUGAUUUAUUUUCUAAAUUUAAUUUGUUUUUAUGUAUUUUUCCUGUUUAGGUAGACCAUACACAUUUUUUUAUACAUGUUCUAAAAUAUACAAAUCUUUUUUAAUAUUUAUUCAAAAUUUAAACAUUUGAAUUAAUUUCAAAAUUUUAAAUUAAAAAUUAAAUUUAGAUUUAACUUAAUGAAUCAAACUCAAAAUUUAAAUCUAAUUUUGAAUCUUUUAUUUGAAUUUAAAUAAUUAUUGAUUUGAUAGCUUUUUUAAAGUAACUCUUUUUUUUAAACCUGAUUUAUUUUUAGUUAGUUAAUUUGUAGUGCGUACGAAAUAUUUUUUAUUUUAUUUAAAAUUUCGUCUGUUAACUAAAAAUUUUACAUCCAUUUAUAUAUAUUGCAUAGUCAUAAAUAUAGAUAUACUAGUUAAGUGCAAUAUAUAUAGUAAUUAAAAGUAGAAUUACAGUAUCAUAAAAAAAAAGCACAAAACUUGCCAUUGAAUUAAACUGAAAAUGUCAUAAUCAAUUCAUCAUUUAACAAAAAAAAAGUUGGAAUAAAAUGUAAUUUUUAACCAUUACGUCAGGUAUAAUGGCCUGCCCGCAGAUUACUCAACCCGCCCAUUUGCUAGAUUUAUGCAUAUAAUAGAUAGUGAAGAUAUUAUAUGUGGAUAACUAUACAUAUUAUAAAUAUUAUAAAAGAUAAAAAAUAUUGUUAGAUAAGAAUGAAAAAGAAUUAUUGUUAGAUAAGGCAUUAGAUAAGAUAGAAUAAGAAUAUUAUGUGGGCGGCGGUUAUUAGGAGAUAGGUUAUGCAUAUAAAAAGUGAAAUUUGAUAGGUACAACAAUUUAGGUAAAAAAGUGACAGAUACUUAAUUCAUCAGUCAUUUGAUUAGAUUCAAUGACUAAAAAUUAAUAUAUUUAUGAUUUAUGAUAGUUUAAAAUUAAAAUAAAAGUUUUUAGACUGUAAUUUAUUAUAUAUUAAUGUUGAAUGAAUGAUAUUGUUAGUAUAUGAUUAGAAUUAUAUUAUAAAGAAUGACAUUUUUUUAAAAAAAGUAUUUUAAAACUCUCUCUUUUAUAAAUAGUAUAGAUAUAGAUAUUACUUCACACUCAUUUUUUACAUAAUAAGAAUAUUAGGCAGUCCCAGCCAAACCUAAAAUAAAAAUAUGGAAGAUAUAUAUACUUACUUCUUGCUAUAUUUUGGCAGUGUCUAACGUACGAUGCUUGCAAUUCCAAUUGAAAGCAAUGUUUUUUUUUUUUUUUUUGAGAGAUAGGUAGCACGCUAUCCGCUUCGUUUAUUUCAUUUAGAAAUAAACUUAGCUGGAAAUGUGAAUCAACUAGGAUUCGAACUUGGGUCGCUGGUACCAACCACCAAACCCUUUGCCACUUACUCUGGGGACGAUCAGUAAUUGAAAGCAAUGUUGACCUGUAUAUACUACGACCUGUUUGCAGAUAUCCUCCUCACCUUCGGGACAAGACGACACUCCACAUGGAAAAUUAUCAGAGUUUCAUAUCAUUAAUUAAUUACAAGAAUGAAGAGCAAAAAAAAAAUCAAACCGAAUCUAAAAGAAAAUCAGGCAGGUAAAGAUUCAAAAGAAUAAAAAAUUUGGUUCUCUUUUUAAGUAAAUAGAAAAUUCGAUUCAAAAAUGAAAAAAUAUUAGUGGAUCGAAUCCAAAAAUAAAGAAAGAAAAAAAAAUCGGACCAAACCCAAAGAGUAUCUGACAGGUAAAUACGUACGGUUCAAUAGAAUAGAAAAUUCAGUUCAAAAGUAAAAAAAAUAUUACUCAACCAAACCCAUGAAUGAAGAGAAAAGAAAAAUUAGACCGAAUUUGAGAAGGAAUAGAAAAGAAAAAUCAAAUUGAACCCAAAAGAGAAUCUGAAAAGUGAGACCCGCUCCCAAGAAUGAAGGGUGUGAUGUCCGUGCAUUAAGGAUUAAUUAUAUUUGUAUUUGUAUGUAUAAAUUAUUCAAAAUUUAAAAAACAAAUUUUAAAAAUUUAUUUUCACUCCAAUUAAUUAAUUAUCUAAAUCUUAAUUUUGUUAAUUAAUUGGCUGUUAAUUAACUAGUGAACGUGACACACCUUUGAAACGCCCGGAUUAUUCCAGCUCCUUUUAAUUGUCUUAGACAAGCUAAUUAAGAGUUACUUGAAUCAUUUUUUUAUCAUUCAAACUAACAAAAGAGUCACGGAUAGAAUUAUUGAUAUAAUGCAUAUAUAUCUUUAAAAUUAAACAGAAUAAUUUGUAUUUGCCUCAAUUCUGAUAAUGAAUCUUUCGUAUCAACAAUUAAGUGGUUAAUUUCAAAAAUAGUAAUUUUUAACAACUAAUAGAAAGUUUUUUUUACGACACUUAAACCCUAAGCAAGUGAUACCGCAACAGUACAAGAUCUGGUUCCUAAUAAGUUAAAAUAAUUUAUAUUACUCUUAUUAAUAUUGUUGAUCAUCGAUUAUGAUGUUCUAUUGUUGGAAGUGAGAUAAAAAAUAAAUGCUCCGUUUACUCUAGCUUCCUAUAUAAUUAUUUAUGCGAAAUUUAAAUUUAUGAUGGUGAUAUAUGCAACUUUCUUAAUUUUCAAAGAAUAAAACAAAAAUGCUACCUGUAUGAUCAAACAAUAAAAUAAAAUUAGAAAGACAAAGAUCUAAUAUGAGCCCUUGGCUGAGCUGGUGCAAAAUUUGUACACAAUUUUGGAGGUACAUGUACGUAGCAAUGCUCAAUAAAAAAUGCUAGCUAUACCAACAUCAUUGGAUGUAAAUCUUUAUGCUCAUGAUCUAAAAAUUUAAAAUCUCUUUUAAAUUUUAGUAUUAAAAGAAAUAAUAAGGCUACUAAUUCCCUUUUGAUUACUUGAUGUAAAUUUUAUACUUGUUUUUAUUGGCGUACGGUACUUAGGAAUGUCAACGGAUACGGAUAUUUAAAAGUUUACUCGAAUCCAAAUUCAAACGAAAUGAUUUUAUCCGACGGUAAAUUGUUAUGAUUUGGAAUUUGGUAUAAAAAAAAAGAAUAAAAAUUUGACGGAUUCGGCUUCGAAUACGAAUUUAUCUUUAUCUGAUUCGAACUUGAAUCCGACUCAAGCCCUUAUAGGUCGUUUUACAUUAUAUAAAUAUAUUAACAUUUGAGACUAUACUUACAUUUUUAUUUUAAAAAUUUAGAUAUUAAUAUAAUAUAUUUUGAAAUAUGAUAAAAAGAAAUAAUUAUUUCGGAUUUGCGUUUUUAGAGUUUAGACUUGAGUUUCGAAUUUGGAUAUAGACUCUCAAAAUCUGCUGAAUCAUAUUCGAAUUUGGAUUUCAAAUUUGGCCACCAGAUUCGAAAAAUCUGAUCUGAAUCCCACGUGUCAAUUUCGUCAAUAAGUAUAAUAUUUUAAUUUAUGUAAAAAAUAGUUUAUAUUAUAAUAAAUGAAUCCACUUGCAUUGUAUGUGUUGACAUUUCUAGCUGUGCUAGUUGUCACGGUCUUAGCGGUUUUGUUCGUAAAAUCCGUACGACGCCUGUCUUUCUACUCAAAGAUGGACAAGCCUAAUUUCUUGUUGCUAGUCUGGACCUACGCGCCCUACAACUAAGUAUGCAAAAAGGAGAGAGAGAGAAAGGCAGAUGUUCUAAAAAAGCUAAGUACUCCACUACUUUAAAAAAUAGGACUACAAUACACAACUCCUCUUAUGUUUGCACCUCUUUUCUUUGCUUCUCUACUUUGGCCUUAACCAACCCCACAAUUUAUUGGCUCCUAAAAACAUUGAAUCUAGUCUACACUAAUUCACCACUAAACACACAUUAAAGCACGCAUUAACUCACGCACUAUCAUAUAGUAAUGAGCCAUCAUUAAUGCCUAAUAAUUAUAAGAUGAUUCCAAGAGUUGCCUAUGUUCCUUGGGUUUCCGCUGGCAGUUAUGGAGGCAUUAAUAGCAGCAGUUACAUGCCCUUCAUCUCUCAUAAAAGACGGGUGGUUUUGAUGCCCCUUUAGCUGCCAACUUAGCCAAGUUGGGCUAAAGACUUAAAUUGUUCAGCAAUUUCGCUAAGUCCCUGAUAUAGUGCUCUAAUAUGUAGUACUAUUGUAAGUAUAAUAAUAAUUAGUAUAUAAAAAAUAGGGAUAAUUGCCUAUAUACCCUUCAUACGUUUGGAAAUAUCCGAUUUAUCCCUACUUUUUUUUUUCUUUCUAAAAUACCGCUCAUAUGUUUCAUCAUUAUUGCAAAAUACCCUUACAGUUAUCUCCUGUUAAGUUAACCUGGGUUAAACGUAAGUUAAAUAUAUACCACAGUUAAAAAAAAAUAAAAUACUAAUUUUGUCCUUAACUUAAGGGCAAAUAAGAAAUGUUGGUGGCGGUAGAGGGGUAUAUUGGAAAAGACCAAAAGUCAAAAUACUUUUUGUGUUCCUGACAUUAAGGGCAAAUAAAAAAGACAGUGAUGAUGGAAGGGUAUACUUGAAAGGGCAAAAUAGUAAUUUUACAGAAUUAACAAAGUUACUUAACAGAUUUUAACUCUAGAGAUAUAUUAGAAAUAGGUUGAAACGUAGGAGAGAUAUUUUUAAUAUUAGCUUUCUAAGAAAGAUAAAUUAAAAAAUCAAUAAUUUUUCAGAAGUGUAUAAGCAAUUGCUCCUAAAAAAUAACUUACAUUGAAAUAAAUGAAUCCGUGAGGGCAUAUGUAUUCCCGCGUCGAACGUCGCGACCACUCAAUCACUAAAGCGAGCCAAGUGUGCAUGGCCGAUACAGCCACGUGUCCAGCUCAUUUAUUGAAGUUUGGGGAGUUGUUGGGUGAGUUUCUAAUCAAAAGCGUCAAAAGACGGGCCAUCCUCUCGUGGCUGUGGUUGGGGGGAGUUGGGAAGUUGGGGAGAUGGGAAAAGGCGAGAGACAGGUAGGCCGUUGAUCUGUGGUUUGCUUGGAAAGGCAAAAGGAAUGGAAUAAGAGUACAAAUAAAGAAAAAGAUGAGCCUUUUAUAGAGAUGGUGCAGCUGUUUUAUUCCUCUUUUUUUUUUUAAUUUUAUUUUGCAAACUUUAAAUAUGAUUUCUAUAAUUUUAUUUUUUUUAUUUUAAUAUUAUAUAAUUUAAAAUAUAUCAUUUUAAUAUUUUAAGAUUUUAUUUAUUUCUCUUCGUCGGCGCCUCCGUUAAUCUUUCGUUAAAUCAUAUGUAAAAAAUUUCAGAUACACAUUUAUGAUUUAUCAAAUAUUCAUUUUAGUAUCAUGUGGAUUACCGAAUUUUUAUUUUAUUACUAUGUAGUUUUAACUUUGUCACUGACUUAACGAAAAAAUUAACCGAGGAGAUAAUGGAAAGGGAAAAAUAAAACUAUAUAUAUGGUAUGAAAGUGAUACAUUUUAAAUCACAAGAUACUAAAGUGAGAAAAUGUGAAAUCACCGGGGUGGUAUUUGAACUUUUCCCUUUUAAGAAAAAGGAAACUUUCUUCCCCAGGUUAAAAAUAAAAUUUUGAUCUCAUUUACCUCUGCUUUAAAAGGGGCAAACUUCAAAUACCAUUAUUGUGGUUUCGCACUUUUUUAUUUUAGUACCCUAUGGUUUAAACUAUAUCAAAUUAGUACCUUGGGAUUGUGGAAGGAUAAAAUAGUAAUUUUACAGAGAUAACAAAGUUAAUUAACAGAUUUUAACUCUAGGAGUAUAUUAGAAAUAGGUUGGAAUGUAGAAAGGGUAUUUUCAAUAUUAACCUUUUAAGAGGAGUAAAUUAGAAAGUCGAAAAUUUUUCAGGGGUAUAUAAGCAAUUGCCUCUAUUUUUUUUGUUUGAAGGAAAAAAUGUGAGUGGGAGUUUUUAGAAUUUAUUUUGAGAUUUUUUUCCAAAUGAGAGCUAGCUUUAGAGAAUCUAAUUUGCUUAGAACUCUUGUCUUAAAAGAAAUCCUAAAUAAGGUCUCUAGAGAUUAGGAGACAUCUCCAAGAGGAUUUCCAAAUCUAGGUAGAGAAUAUCGCUGAAAUGAGUUUGAUCUCCUUUUGUCUAAAGUAUUCUUGCUCUAUGCGUGUUCUUGAGUAAAAGUAGACUAAAACUUAUUUAGUUUGCAUAAGACAAGCCUUAAAAAAUUAUGAGGACUUAUGGGUGUAUAACAUGGUAUGUAGGAUUUUUAUUCCCUUUGCCAUGUCAUUUUAAUAGCAUACUCUUUUUUCUAUGUGUAUAAUACUAUGUAUGAAUACACAAACUCAAUGAACUUGGUAGUAUAUUGCUAAAAAAGGGUUUAAAUGGAAGAUUUGGACUAAAUUAUUAUUGAUGCUGUUGUGUAUAGGAAUAGCAAUGGCACCGCGUGGACUAUUGAGGACAAUGCCCGUGACCACACGACCCGAGGCAUCAGAGCACUCGGGUUCGAGCGAGGUGCACGAGCUGCGCAACAGAAUUACCUCACUAAUUGGUAUGGCUCAACAGCAAGCUGAGAUCUCAUGGCAUCAAGAGCAGCUCAAGAGGCUUCACCACCUUUUAUAGACAAAAUGGCACGCCCCGAGACCCGCCUCUUUGGUCGGGUGCGCCGAUAGACCACCGAACGAACAGUUUUCCUUGUCCGCCCAAGGCGUCACAAUCAGUACAAUUCAAGUAGUUCCAAACAGAAACAGUAUUCAUACACCGAUUGCAUAAGGAAGUUAUCAAAUAGAAUUACUAAGCUAUUACAAGCAUUCGUCUAAUUUCACAUUACAUUUACAUUCUUUUCUUUCAAAUACAAUCAACUUUAUUAUAAUGUGUUUUUUUCCUAUACCCUAAGCUAUGUUGACUCAUACACUACAACAUAAUUAGGUUAUAGGAAUACAUGUUUGGGACACUUUUGAGAAAGUGUUCCAUUUAUGCUAAAAUUUUAAAAAAUAUCUACUAAUGCCUAAAUAUAAAGUCCAAUCCAACAAAAAAUAAAAGAUUACUCUAUUAAACCCACCACAUCCAGUCCAUUUGGCCCGAUUACAAACUGAAAAGAAAAAAAAAAAAAGAAAAAUCAAUUACCAUCUUUUCUUCUCUCUUCACUCAAUCCACUGAAAUUCUAGACGAAGAGUCUUUCCUGUCGCCCUCCUCCGCCACCGCAGCCAGCGAGAUAGAGUUUCGACGGUUGUUAAAUGCUUAAAUAAGUGUUGGUAAAUUAGCAACACUUUUUUAGGUUAUAGUGACACUCUUUAACUGUCACUAUAUACCUAGCGACCCCACAUAUAGCAACACUUUUAAAAGUGUCGGUAAUUUUAGCUAGCAGCACUUUUUUGACAUGUACCUACAUUUAAAAGUGUCGCUAUAGACCGUUUUUGUUGUAGUGAUAGUACAUCUAUCUUUGGUCUCAAGUGGUAGGGCACUAUCUACCGAGCUACACCCUUUCCUCGUGCCGCCACGCCGCUCACGUGUGGACCUGAAAAAUAUGGGGGUGAGAACUAUAAACAUAGUUCCAGUGGGUAUGGCCACCCAAGGAAAAAGCUCAACCAACUAGAUCCAAAGGAGGCAACAUAAGCAAAUUAGUCCACUAUAUAUAAACAUAUAACUGUAAGCAACUAACAAACGAUAUGCUUAUGCCUCAACUAAAUGCAAUAUGAAAUCCAUGCAAGUAGAUCUAUCAUUUCUACUACUAUUUCACAAUCUAUUGCAUUCACAGUCCGCUCCUAAGAUUCUUUUACCUUAGCCAAGCUAUGCCAUCCGACUCGGUCUUGAGUCAAUCAUCAAUGGACUACCGGUCACAUUCAGGCCUGAGGAGAGGAAUAUGCCGUGCACCUCAGCCUUAAUCCACAUACCAAGGCACCCGACGGGCCGCGAAAAUGUUGCGUACACCCAUGAUCAGGGAUCCCCAGAUGGGAGAGAAACAUGCCAUAUACACCCACAGCCGGGAUUCCCGAUAGGGAGGGGAACAUGCCAUAUACAUCCCAGCACACGAAAAUUCUUCCAGUCGGAGAGGAACAUGCCAUAUGCACCCGCGGCCAAGAAUCUUCCACAGUCACAACCCUCGAGGUUCUCGCGGUGGGAGAGGAACAUGCCGCAUGCACCCAUAGCCAAGAACUUCGACGAUAGCAAAUCCUGGGAUUCCGGAAUCUACUUUUCAAAUCUCAAGGGUUUGUCACUUGCCCUAUAGUGUCAACCUUUCUAGGUUCAUAAUCACAUGUCCAAGUGGUCAUUCUACCACUAUGUUUUCCAACCUAUGUUCAAUGACACUAGGUUCAAUGAUAUUCCAAUCCAAAUGGUCUUUACUACCACUAUAUUUCCAACCUAUGUUUAAUGAUACUAGGUUUAAUACCCAAUCAUGUUCUUCCUUUAUCCUAGUUGUCCACAUCUAGAAUUCAUGAUUCUAUGACAUCUAGUCCUAGGUUUCAUACUUGUCGAUUUCUCUAAUUUUUCUAGAGUUCAUCGACUUAUGUUCAUUAUCCACUCCUAGGCAUACAUACAUAUACAUCCUAUAUGUUCCACAUGCCUGUGUUCUUGUCCAAUGGUAGGUAAUUCCAUCUAGCCACAUAUGAUUUAUGCAUUCAUAUUUACAAUAUAUAACCUACAAUUAUAUACAUGCAUUAAUAAUAAGAUCAUACUUUACUCUUUGACAUGGAAGUGACCUAGUCACUUCGGUGAAACACAACCCACCUCGCAAAGCCUCCUAAUUGCUUGUAGACACUUGCAAUUAGGUCAACCUCUUGGAUCUCCAAACUUGCUCCCAAGCUUUUCUUACCCUAUACAAGAGAUCCAUUUGUUACCAUUUUCGAACCAUUAAAUAAUUUUUGCUUUUGAAAUCAAGUUGCCCCAUUUGAUUUUCUAAUCCGCAAUUAGGGUUUUAAAGGGUUAAAACAUUUUUAGAACCCUUCACAAGCAAAUCCCUCUUUCAACCUAGGAUUUUUUCAAACUAGAGGAAAAUCUCUAAUCUCAAGAUAACUCCUACUAUUUGUGGUCUAAAUUUACCUAGAAUUUACCAAAAUCCCAAAUCCAAGAAUUAAAUUCAAAAUCCUAGCUUAAAACCACAAAACUCACAUCGAGUCGAAAGCGCUCCGAGCCACCAAGCGCCCGAGAGCUCAAAUUCACUGCUCCUUCGAACUUCCCAAGCUCGAUCUCCACCAGGAUCCCCAAGUUGGAGAAGAGAUGAAGAGAGUGAGAGAGACGAGCUCCUCUCUCUCCCUCAUUGUGCGUGUGUGUGUGUUCUGCAGAGAAAAGGGAAGGCACCCCUUUAAAUAAGCCCCUGCAUGAAUGUCACGCCCCAAUCCCUACCAAUUUGGUCGGGUUCGGGUCACGUCAACAGACGCCGAACGGACAGCAUCUCCCCUGUCCGCCCAAGGCUCCAACAACAAGUAUAAUUAAGCAAUCAACAAAGGAAUAUGCAAUUAUACAAGACUUGCACGAGGGCAAGCAAUAACGGAAGUGAAAGCUCUAAGGUAAUACAUACAACCAUACAUAAUAUUUGAUUAUAUUUUAACCAAAUACAAGUAAACUACAACUAUUACAUUCUUUUUUCCAUUCAACAUAAUUCUUUACAAUUUAGCCAUCCACCAAAAAUACAUGAUGGCUUACAACUUUACAACUCUAAAUCAACAAAAUAAAAGUUGAUACAUGUAUAAAGGAAUGACGAAAAAUGCAUAAGUUCCGGUAGCCACUAGCUAUGGCACAAUAUCCUUGCCACGGUCCUUCGCCGGCUCGCUCGCGUUCGGACCUGUAGGGUUAGUGGUGUGAGAACUACAACGAAGUUUUCAGUGGAUUCGGCAACCGACUUCGCCGACUUACCCACUAGGUCUAUUCAGGCAUAAGUAUUUUAAAGGAAAGGAAAGUAGUAACUAUACUAAUGCUAAUACUAUGCCUGCAAGAAACUGUCAAUGGAUAUAUAAUCAAAGCAAUAUUAAAUAUGCAUGCAAGCUUUUUCAUGAUUUUACUUUGGCUUUCACCCAAUCUUACCGGUUAACCUUGUUAACCCGAAUAACUCACAACCCAAAUUUCUUUUGUUCGGGGAGGCUCUAAGCACUACAAAACCCGAGGGACCGUCUUCGGGGACCACGCUCCCCGUGGUGACAAUUCCGAAAUGCACCGCUUGAGGGGGAGCUACCACCCUCAUGCCAAGACUUAUUGCGAGUAUCGAUCCAAUUCCCACUUAAGGAAUGUAUAGUCACUAGUCACAAUGCUACUAUCAUAAUAGGUUUCUACCUAUUUAUUUAUGCCACUCUCUAGGUCAUUCUUGCCACAAUGCCAUAAUUGGUUAAAUUAUGUUUAACAAUUCAUCUCUCAAUGCCAAUCAUGUCUCUAAUGUCAAUGUCACAUUUGUUAACUAUUGUCCAAGUCCAAGUCUCACAUUCAUACAAGUUUAGGGUCUCAACGUACAUGUCCAUUAUGAUUCUAUCAUUUUCAAUGUCCAACUACAUUAGAAGCAUACAAAUGAUGUCUAAUCAAGUUUCACAUGUAAAAUUUACCCUACAUGCAUGAAUGGUUCUAUACAUCGUAUGCUCAACAAAAGGCGAAAUAGACAUAAAGGGGAAUCCGAUGAUUCCGGUAUGCACCCCCCACCUCAAAUAGUGUAGAAGGGUUGUAGUUUGACUCUCGUGAUUUUAGGAAGCCUCUCCCACAACCUAAACCCAAAAUAAAGCCAAAUUAGGCCCUAUAUACUAGAUCUCAUACUAAACCUUUUUGUAACAUUAACGAAGUUGUCCCACGCGUUGGGAAUACCCUCAAUUAGGUUUCCAAGAGGUCAAUUUGCCUCGAAAACAACCAGAGGCAAAAACCCCAAAAUUCAUGCCCUAACAAUGCCACAAUGGAAUUUCUCCUAGAUUAAUCUCUUCUCUAAGCAAAUGAUAGCUUAGAAUCACCUAGAAAGCUCUCUAAUCUUGUUUCCAAGCUGUUUAGACCAUUCUAGGGCAUCUAUAGUGAACUCUAAUAAUCCAUCAUGAGAGCACCUCAAGAAAACCAUGGUUUUCAUGGUGUUCUAAGCUCUAGAGGGUUUCUAAGCUUAUUAGAGGAUUAAAACUCCAAGACUUAAGGUUUAAAACCAAACCCUAGAGUUCUACUUGCAAGAGAACUCACCUUUGCCCAAGCUACAUCAAGCUCCUUCUUGUUGGAGAGCUUUUAGCACCUUCAACUCCACCAAAACCACCUUCUCCUUGCUUCUUCCUCUUUCUCUUCUCCUUCUUCUUCUCCUUCUAGAGAGAGAGAGAGAGAGAGAGAUGAGAGGGUGUGAGAGGGAGAGAAUGAGCGAAAGCCCUGAUUUGCCUCUUUACAUAACCCAUUCAAUGCACAAUUGCAUUUAAACCCCUCAACUUUGCACCCUGUGCACUGCCCAGACUGGGCCCUUUUCGGGCACGGGGACCGGUCUCUCUAGCAAGGGACCAAUCCCCGAGAGCACAGCUCUCAGGACUUAGCCGAUUUUUUCACUUCUGGGAUUUUUACGUGUACGGGAACCGGUCUUCCUACCAGGGACCGGUUUCAGGGGGACCGGUCUCUCGACCGGGGACCGGUUGCCUCGAGGGGAUUUCCAACCUCGGGCAGGCUACGCAUACGGAGACCGGUCUCUCCCCACAGGGAUAGGUCCCCGAGAGCUCAAAAGCUGCAGUUUGCAGAUUUUUGAUUCUCUAGCUCUCGAAGAUCCCCUACAAUGCACUUUUGGUCUUUUUGACGCCUUCGGCCUUUCCGAAGCGUACUAAUUACCUCGCACUUUGGUCAUGUUGACUAAAGUUCGAUAUUCGCUUACCGAGCUUUCGGUAUGUUACAAUAAAAUUACCUAUUUACCACUCAAAAUCAGCAUUAUGUAGAGUUGCGUACCGGUACUCGGGUUAGCGUACGGGUACUCGGGCAUAUAGUUUUGGUCCUCGGUUUCCAGUAUCUCAAAAUCCGAAUGUUGGAUUUUUAAUUUUCUACUGCGUACCGGUACUCAAUUUUCAAUAGCGGUACUCAAUACAAAUCCAGUACUGAUACUUAGGUUUGAUUCCUCAAAACCCGAGAUUAUGUUUUUCUCAUUUUGUAUUGUAUACCUAUACCCAUAUUUCAGUACUGGUACUAAAUACAAAAUCUGCAAUAUAGACAAAUAUAGCUUUUGGGGCUCGUUUUCGCGCCAGAUUUGCGCCGAAAACACUCGAACGCUCUCUAAACUUUAUCGGAAUAGCUUUUGAAACUAGUUCUCAUCAAAACUUUAUAAUUGUAAAAGUUCGGUAUAUUACACAACAAGCUAGCGGUGCCUAUGUGAGCCAGGGACUGAGAAUUAAAAUAGCAUUUAUAGAUUUCGAAUUAUUAUUAAUAAUUUUUAAAUACUAAUUUUUAUAAUUUUAAUUCGAUUUAAUGUAGAGAAAAAGCUGGUGACGAUGCAUUGAAGAGCGAAACUUCUUUAGGUGAGAUUUUACAUUUCUAUGAAUUUAAAAAAUAUUUUUUUCCUCUAAUUUUUUCUCUACUAAUUUUAUUUUAUUUUAAUUAUUUUUUUUGAAAUUUGGUUUUGAUGUAAAAAAGAAGAAACCUAAGCCGGUUAUAAUUCAUCGAAACCAAUCUCAACGAAAUCACCUCCAAUUUUUUUUCUUCAUUUUUUAUUCUUGUAUUAAAUUAUAGUUUUUAAUUCCUAUCUAUGCAAUAAUUAUUAUACUCCUAUAGUUAGGGGUGGAAACGAGCCGAGCUCGAGCGAGCAUAUGUCAGCUCAAAUUCGGCUUGAAAUUAAUUUCGAGCCUAAAUCUAGGCUCAAGCUCGGCUUGAAAUUAAUUCGAGCCAAGCUCGAGCGAGCCUAAUUAGUCUACCGAGCUCGACUCUAAAUGACAAUUGAAAUUCGUCUGACUUACAUAUAAUCAAUAGUUUAAUUUUAUAUAAAUUAUCAUACAAUUGAUGCAACAUGUCCAACUAGUCAAAAUAACAAAAUAAUUGAAGAUGUAUCUAGGGGACUGCUCCUGACUGGAUGAAGGUCAGAGGUGGGAGAGAGAAGCGAGAAGAGAAGAUAAAAAAACAAAAGAUAAAAAAAAAAAGAGGAGAAAAAAAAUUAUAAUUUGAUUUGAAUGUUAUCAUCUUUUAAGUUAUGUGAACAAGUAAAAGUCUGAAAUCUAGAGUGUGUUAGUAAAUUUAGAGUUGGGCCUCAAUUGCAACGUGUAUUUAUGUGGUUUAUUUUAUAAGUCAACAAUAAUGCCCAAAUAGAUUAAACCGCUUAUAUAUAUUAAAUCAUAUAUUAAAAUUAAAUAUAUAUAUUUAUAUAAUAUAUUAUAUAAUAUAUAUAUAUACGGUCGGAUACAUAGCUAUAUGAUACAUCUCCCCGUACCCUCCAUAAAUGUCGAUAUAAACUCCGAAUACCGAUCCAUUCACACGUUAAACGUAUUUACAACAUUUAAAACUUUAAAAAAAAUUAAUAAUUUUCGACAUUAAUUUACCUUACGAUCAGAGGUCACAAAUUUACAAUUUAACGGCCGUAUGGGAAAUACUUCAAUUAACAGUAAAAAAUCAAUUUGUUGACUUUUUAUGGAAAAUUCUAAUUCACGUACAUAGAUAAAGACAAUUGCUACCAAUCUUGAAAAUUGAAGACCAAUCACCUUUUUUAGGACUUCCUUCGAUUUGACCCGUUCAUCUUUAUGCCCACUUGAUUGGACUUAUUCAUAUUCGAAAAUUUACAGAAUUUUUUUCUAGAGUCUUUCAAAUACAUCUAAUCAAUAUUUAAUAAGUGGAUCGUCAAUUCGAAGCUCCAAUCAUUGAAAACAACUUAUAUACGAGGGCUUUCCAAUACUUCAUAAAUAUAGUAGCCAUGGAUAUAAAUAUAAUAUAUAAUACUAUAUAUAGUAUAAUAUUCACUUUUCGACCAAUUCGAACGACGCCGAGUAAUACUCAAGCUCAGCUUGAAAUGAAUUUCGAGCCUUUUAUUUUGUUCAAGCUCGGCUCAUUUAAUUUCGAGUCGAGCUCGAGCGAGCCGAAUAUCGAGCCGAACACGAGUCGAACGCGAGCCGGCUCGCUCGUUUGCCAGCCCUACCUAUAGUUCUUUCUUUUCGUCUUCUUUCUUUGAUCUCCAUUGAAUUGUGUUCUCAUUCUAAAAUUUUUUAAUAUAUCUUUAUAUUAUUAACCAAUCAAAUUUUUUUGUUAUUUAUUAUAUUUUUAUUUGUAUAUUUAAUUUGUAAAUUUUUAUUAUAAUUUCUAUCUCCUGUGUCGCGCGGAUUUCUACACUAGUUUUUCUUAAUAAUUGAUAGUUAUAUAAAAUUUAUGUAAUUGCCAAACUUAUCUUAAGGGCCAUUUGGUUGGAUGUAGUUACAAAAACAGUAUAGUUGGAAGUAUAUGCAGUUGUAAAUACUGCAGUCAUAACUACACCAUGUCUGUUUGGUUUUAUACUGUUGCAACUGCUGUAAUUACAUUUUUUCUAUUUGGUAGUCUGCAGUUGAGAUUUGUAUUUGUAAAUUCAGUCAAUUUUUAGAUAGAAAUGUGAGAUUACCUCUUCUGAGCGUAAUUUAUAUAUUAUAAAAUUAUGCAUGAAUUUAAUAAUUUUAAAUGCAAAUAUAUUAUAGAUUUGAUCAAAAUAAAAAUUAAGAUAUUAUUAGACUGAAAAAAAUGAAGCGUAUGAAAAAAGCUUAUUGACUCUAACAUACAUUAAUUAUUAAACCCUAUCGGAUUUCAUAAAUAGAUAUUUUUGGAAAAAAAAUAAAAAAAGAAGUGUAUAAAAAAAAAUCACACUUUGUUUAUUUCUUUGAUGGGUGAGCUGACUAUAACCCAACUACUGCAAUUGGUACUACAACCAAUUUGCCUGCAGUAUUAACUGCUGUAGUUGGGCAUUCUCGUGUAGAUGCAGCUGCAGCAGUUGGACCUAAUUACACAAGACCAAAUAAAAAUUUAAUAUAUACAUAUAUUUUCAUCUACAAUGCAGUUAUUUUAGUACUGUUUUAGAUGAAAACUAUUUUGGACGCUGGUUAAAAAAAAUAAAAUAAGCGUGAAGAAAAAAAAAAUCAGAAAACGACUAUAAAUGGAGAUAAACUUUUAACCGAUUUAUCUUGGAGGGUCCUUUUCUCACGCGCCAUAUAUAGAAACUUCUUAACUGAACAAAACUUUAGUCACUUUGUCGUAAUUAUUUGCGCUAUCUAUGUAUUAAAAAAAAUUAUCUUAUCUAAAAUAUCUUCUAACUUUUUAUUAUUUAGUUUAAUUGCGCCACUAGUCCUCAACCUUUAUAGAAUUUUUUUUUUUAUUUGGGUCUCGGACCUUUUUGUUUUUUUACAAGAAGAAUCUUCUUCUUCUUCUUCUUUUUCUUUUUUUUUAAGAGAUAGAUAGCAUGUUACCCUCUUCGUUUAUUUCAUUUAGAAAUAAAUUAGCUAAAAAUAUGAAUCAACUAAAAUUCGAACUUGGGACAUAUCAAUCACUAAGCUCUUUAUUUUUUUUUUACAAGAAGAUUCUUAAACUUUAGGAUUAGAUGCAUCAUUUGAUUAUAACCUUUGCUUUUUUUUUUUUUUUUCAAUUUGAUUCCCGACUUCUUCUACUAUCUACGCUUCUUGCGUCAAGGCGAAUCUCAUGGACAUCAAAAUUAUUCCCGUUGCUCGCUUCUACACAUGCCAGUACUUAUUGCAUGUUCUUUUCUAAGAGUAUCUAAGUUUUUUUUUUUUUUUUUUUUUUUUUUUUUUUUUUUUUUUUUUUUUGAGAGGUAGAUAGCACGCUAUCCGUUUUGUUUAUUUCAUUUAGAAAUAAACUUAGCCAGAAAUGUGAAUCAACUAGGAUUCGAACUUAGGAUCUCGGGUAAUAACCACCAAGCCCUUUGCCACUUACUCUAGAGACAGUCAGUAGUAUCUAACGUUCCUACUUGUCAAAUUAGGGAUGCAGCUCUUUAUAGAAACUUACAAAUCAAUGCAGAGAUUGAUUGAGGGCUGUUGGACCAUAAUCAUAAUCCAUUUCUCAAAAGUUAACUAAUUGAAUGAUUAAAACUUAAGUAUUAAAAAAUGUAAAAAUUUAAUUCUAUAAGUAAAAAAUUACAAUAAAAUAAAAAAAUAAAGGUUAGGUUCCAACUGUGCAUUUAACCUAAGGGUGUGUUUCAUUGGCUGUAAAAAUAUACAGAAAAUUACCAUUCAGCUUGAAAAAUUAUUUUCUGUAUGUUAGUUUAGCAAUUAAAAAAAUCGGAGAAGUAUUUUGACAGAUUUGAGAAAAAUAGAAUGUUUUUAUUUUCACCAAUUUUCCAUGGAAAAUGAAAUCUCAAACUGCGUAGCACUUAUCGACGGAAAACGAAAAUUAUGCUACGUAAAAUCUUUUUAUUUAUUUUUUUACCACUAAACCAAACAAAUAUAAAUUUUUUUUCCCUUUCAACCUAAUAAAUAUUGAUAAAAAAUUAUUUUUUAUUCUACAAAUCAAAUAUUAUAAAAUAUAAAAAAAAUUCAUCAAUUUUUCUUCUGAAAAUUUAUUUCUUAUGAUUUUACGUACAUUAAUUAAGACGCCUACUAAUUAAGCUGGAAGAGAAACCAGCGAAGGAAGAUUCUGGAGUACUCCCCAGGUCCACUUGGCUUCUCUUGGUUUCUUCAUUUAUUAUUUUCUUGCGCUGCAAUUUGGUGUCAGCCUGUCAGGACACCUUUUGCGGUCAAAGAGAAGAAAGACACUUCAUUAAGUAACGGAACUUCCAUCCAAUAAGAUUCUUAGUCCAGAUGCUGAAUCGCUGCUCACGUACGUGGACGUGAAAGUGACUUCUCUUUAAUAUCGCAUAGCUAUCUGCACAUAAAAAAGCAUUGAAGCUUAAUAUAAAAACUUAUAUAGAACUUAGAGUGAGGCUGCUAUGCUAUCGGAAGCACGAAGUCUUUCGUGCUUUCAGCUUGUUUUCGAUAUUGCGAUUUUUGAAUUAUCGAUCGGCUCCGUUAAACUUGAUCUAGAGUAUUUGAAGUACCUAGAAAAUAAAUUUUAUGAUUUUACGAUAUCAUUUGCCUAGUGAACGAAGGAGCUCAAAAUCAACGGCUGAAAAUAAAAAUCUUACAAAAUGUAAUAAUAUGACAUUGAAAUUUUAAAUCAAAGAUAUUGAUCUUGUUUUAUNUUUCUGAUUUUUUCGAAAUCUUGAAUUCUUUGAUCUUUGUCAAUUCGCUUCGAUUCUUCAAGACUCCAACUCACUUCACGAAACUUGCCAAUACAAAAUCCUUAACAGCACGGGAUCGCGGCAAGGGGAUCGCCUAGCUAGUUAGCCGCGGAGCUUGCUUUUACCUAGGUGGUUUUUCUCAUUCUUUUUGUAGUUGAGAGAGAGAGAGAUUUUGUAUCCAUGUAUAGAGACCACCUGUGUAUCUACUUUAGCACUUGUAUUUGGGAUUUCCUUGUAUUACUUUAUGCUUUUAUUAGUGGAUUCCAGCUUUAUGCUCCUUUCUCUAUUGCAGAACUUAGUAUUAUAUCAUGCUCUGAUACUCCUAGUUGUCUUUUAUUACCGCUUUAUUUAUUGUUGUUUUUAUAUGCCUUAUAUGUUUUAAACGUAUGGCGGGUCUGGGCACGCGCCGGGCGGGCUUCCGCUGGGUCCCAGGGCGUGACAGAUUAAUUUGGUAUCAAAGCCUAGGGUUGAUUCUUACGGAACCUAGCAAACCUUAGGCCGGUUGGACUAUAGGAAAUAGGCUCGUGAGAGACGAGGUCUAUUUGACUUAUGAGCGAAAGUAUCUUGAUUGGGUGUCUUGAUGACUCUAAAAAGUUAGAGUUGGAUCGGAGUGUAUGGCUCCUAACUUCGCGGAGGGUUACGUUGGCGGCCGACAACGUAACAUCGGGAGUUAGUAGUGCAGAACACUUCUUUACUUUCGCAUGAUUUGAGUAUUAUUUUUAAUUGAGCGGGGACGCGAUAGCAUGGGUUUCACUAACUUGCGCUUUUGUGUUUUGUAGUAACGAUGCCGAUUACUCGCUCCCAAUCUGCCGGGGCGGACAAUGCGGCCAACAUUGAGGAGGUCGAGACCUUCGCUACCUCCGAAUCUGGCGAGAUCCGUAAGUUGAGGGGCCAGCUUGCGGCCCUCAUCGAUUUAGUCACUCAGCAGGCGGAGGCGGCCCGACAGCAGACCGAGGCGGCGCGCCGACAGGAGGCGCGGAUGAAGCGCUUGGAGGAUCUACUUCUGCAGCAGGCAGCAGCUUCUAGGGAGACGCAGGGCCCUACACCGCCAGCACCCGUUGUGGACGUUGCACCGAGAGCGCCGUCCCCCGCGCCCAGUUCUUCGCAUGCGGCACCUGUGGCCGCACCCCAGGAGGAGGUUUUGGUGGCACCACCUGUGCAGAGGCCCCCAGUUGGAGCUGCAUUCCCUAUAUUGGUUGAGGGGGCGGAUUGAGACAGACUGAUGGAGCGUCUCAAUGAGUUCAGGAGGUGCAGCCCCCGAGUCUUUGAUGGCGAGAAGGUCGACCACUGGAUCGUGGAGAAGUGGUUGAUGCAUAUGGAGAAGCUCUUCCUCGACACCUUCGUGGAGGAGAGGGACAGAGUUUGGCUUGCCACUCACCAUUUGGACGGCGAGGCCUACCGCUGGUGGUUGGAUCUCCAGGAGCACUCCAGUACUGAUUUGGCGGUCAUCACUUGGACGAGAUUCAAGGAGCUUUUGUUGGCCCAUUACUUCCCGACCAGCGUUAAGCGGAAGAUGGAGCAGGACUUGCGCGGCUUGCGCCAGGGCGACAGGACCGUAGCCGAGUACGAGAGGGAGUUUUCUCGGCUUCUACAUUGCGUGCNAUCGGUUAGAUACUUACUUACACUAUGUGGCCAUAGUUUAUUUCGUGCUUGAGAUUACGGUAGUUCAUUUUACUAUGGAUGUUGGUGUAGGAACCAACGACAGCGGAGGAGCCAGACUCGCCGCAUGUACGCGGGUGAGCCCCGGACAGCUCUAGGGAGCGAGACCGCGACCUGCCCACCGGCGGGUCCUACCAUGACACCGUUGCCUCAGGACACCGACUGCCGACCAUCUCGGCCACGGCUACGACAGCUGCCACAGCCACUUCUUGGAGAGCCCGUGAGCCAUGCCUGCACCGGGAGGACCGGUGUGACCUUCGUGGACGAGGGGACAACACCUGUGACGCCACCCAUUACCCCUGGUGGCGUCUAGUGUGUGCCCCUUCCGGCCGCGGCUAGCCUAGGAGGAGCUNNNNNNNNNAAUACUCUAGAUCAAGUUUAACGGAGCUGAUCGACGAUUCGAAAGUCGCAACAUCGAAAACGAGCUGGAAGCACGAAAGGCUCCGUACUUCCGAUAGCAUAGUAGCCUCACUCUAGAACUUAUCUCAAUUAUAAAUUAUUUUGAGUUACAUAUCAAAUUUUAAAAAAAAUUAUUUUACUAUAUAAUAUUUCAAUUUAUUUGAUUUGAAUUAGUUGUCGGCACAUUGAUUUUGUUUCACACUUUUUCAUUUUAGUACCCUGUGGUUAAAAUGUAUCAAGUUAGUAUCCCGUGGUUUCGCACUUUCUCACUUUAGUACCCUGUGGUUUAAAGUGUACCAAGUUAGUGCUCUGUGGUUUUAUUUUUGUAUCAAGUUAGUACCUAUGGUUUAAUUUAUUUUUGUAUCAACUUAGUAUCCUGUGAUUUUUAAACCACAUGGUACUAAAGUGAGAAAGUGCAAAACCACAGGGUACUAAAGUGAGAAAAUGUGAAACCACAGAGUACUAACUUGAUACACUUUAAACCACAGGGUACUAAAGUGAAAAAGUGCAAAUCCACAGGGCACUAACUUGAUACACUUUAAACCACAGGAUACUAAAGUGAGAAAGAAUGAAACCACAAGGGGGGUAUUUGAAGUUUUCCCUAUUUUAUAUAAUUCUUAUAACUAUAAAUUUAUUAAAAUAAUAAUUAGUUUAAAUUUUUAAAGUUAAAAGGUGAUUGAAUAACUCAAAAUCGAACAAAUUGAAAGAUUGGAUAGUAAAAUUAAAAUUUUGAUAGGUUGGAUAGAUUCAAAAUAGUUUACAGUUUGGAUAAGUUUUGUACACUUUUACCAAAAAAUAAUUUUGUUAUACUAUUCUUAUCAUGAUUCUAUUUGUUUCAAGAGUGGUGCUACAUUCACCGGCUCGCCAAGUUGGUGAAUGUCGUCUAUAACGAGGGUCCACAGCUCGUUGUGUAGGGCCCCCCAACUCUCCGAAUUCAGCAAAAUCUUUCUUUUUUUAUUUCAACCAUUGGAUGAAUGAGACGUAAGAUAUAAUCAUAAUUUUGGAUGUAUGGAUUGUAUUUCUCUAAUAAUUUUUAAAAAAAAUUUAUUCUGUGUGAUAAUAACAACGGUCAAUAAAAGGCUUUAUAUUGUAAAAAAAAAAAAAAAAAUUAUAACAAUUACAAGUUAUAACACAAAAAAUAUCCCAAUCCAAUUAUAUUGUGCAAAGUGGAUGGAGAAGAAUCCAAUUAGGCACAAUACAAUUAUUAUUCAUUGGAGUGAUGCUUAAAACAUUUUUUUCCCUUAUGUUUUAAAGUAAUAUAUAUGAAGACAUUUGAUUGGAUGUUGGAUAAGUAAUAUAUAUGAAGACAUUUGAUUGGAUGUUGGAUAUGCUAUGGAUUAUAACUGUCAUAAAGAAGUCCUCUCCUGUAUUGCAAAAAAGUCUUUCUAUCAUGAUCAUUUUGUAACAAAAUAAAAAUAUUUAAUUAAAUAUUUUAUUAUUUGUAUAAUUUUUUAUUGCCGUUAAUUUUGAGUGAGAUUAUUAUAUUGCUCUUAAUUAAAUUUUUUUCCCGUCUUAAAUCACAUAGUAUAAUUCAUUUGGGUUAGCAUUGGCCAAAAUAGGUCAUAUUUUCUAUCCCAUGGCAAUAGACACAAAUGACUAAUAAGUUGAGUUGAGUUGAGUUCAAUAAGUUAAGUAAGGCUGUAGUCUAUAAUGGACAUAACAGUAAGAGACCAAAUAAUAAACCCAAUAUUCCAAUGGAUUGAGUCUAGUUGAAGCCUGUGAGUGCUGUGGCUGAGUCCUUUAGUGCGAUGGGUGCGUCUUUUUUAUUAACAUGUGCUUUUGGGAUAGAUGACUAGUGCAUAUGAUUCACAGUUAUAUGUAUAAUAAUUGUUACUGAGAAGACUGUAUCUCAUAAUAUACACAAAUAUAAAAAAAAUAUUUUUGUCAAACAUUAUUUUUAUAUAAAAUUAUUUUGUUAUCCUUGAUUAUAUUCUAUACUAUCUAACUCGUGUAGUAAGUUUUGUUUUCCUUGAUUAUCUUUCCAUCUUCAAAGUGCCCGAAUGGGUACUACACGGAAUAGAAGCCCUGAGAAGAGCCUUCUUCUGGAAAGGAUGUUCCAAAAUUUCUGGAAGAGCAUGCCUCCGCAACUGGAAUACUGUCUGCAACAGCAAAGCAGAAGGAGGGUUUGGGAUCAAAGAUCUGGACUCUAUGAACACGACGCUCUUAACCAAAUGGUGGCGGUGUUUCUUCAACAAGCCACACCUGCCUUGGUGCAAGCUGAUUAGAUCUCUUUAUUACAUCAGACGAAGGCCGUUGCACGAGGGCAGGGCCUUCACACCCUACUCGCAGUGGUGGAAAAGCGUGGUAUGAUGCCGCGAUGUGUUCAAAUGCGGUGUAUCUUAUGCGCUAGGCAACAAAAGCAAUAUCAGGAUGUGGUCCGACAUUUGGGUUGGAGAAACCCCCCUAAGCACCAUGUUUCCAGACAUUUUCGACAAUAUUACGAACAAGGAGAUCACAGUAUUUCAAUGCUGAAACUCAAACGGAUGGAGAUGGCGCUACAUCUAUAGGGGCUUCGCGGCGUUCCAUUCCAUCGAAAGUUGUAGAUAAUUAAUUGACAGCAUUUAAAGAUCUGCUUAUUCAGCGUAACCCAAACACCAGCCUGGACUUGCCCAAAUGGAGGUGGACCUCCAACCAACUUUUUACUGUCAAUUCCCUCUAAUAGUUUCUCACUGACGCAGGCCAGCGAGACUUGAUGAACCAGCAUAUUUGGAGAUUAAAAAUCUCAAUCAAAAUCAAAAUCUUUAUUUGGUUGCUAUUUCGAAAGAGAUUACUCACUAUCGAUAGAUUGCUCAAUCAAGGGAUGUUUUUAGAGCAACAUUAUGGAUUCUGCGUUGUACUCACGGAAAGCUGCGACCAUCUCUUCUGUUACUGUGUCUUCGCUCGAUACCUUCUCCUCUUUGCGGCAGGUCUAGAUGCACCCGACGAGGACUCGGGUGAUGUAAGAGACCUUUGGUCCAAUAUUUCUAACAUCCUUGACAGCGCGAAGAGAUCAAUUGGCCUUACCUAUUUAGCGGCAAUUUGGUGGGUCAUCUAGACGGAAAGAAACAACCUUACUUUCAGAUCGAAGCCUCCUAAUGCUGUCCGGACUCUCGAACGUGCCAAACUUUUGACAAAGAAUUGGAUCGAGCUCCUCUGAUUCGUCACUGGCUCUUCUUCCCUACUUUUCAAUUUUUUCUCCUUCACUUAUGUCGGUUUCUUUCUUCUUUUUUUUCUUUCUUUGUUUAUUUCCUUACCGCACUAUUUCGCUCUUUUCUUGAAAGCCAUAGCUGCUUCCACUAUGUUCGCCUAGUUCAUUUUGCUUAAUGAAUGAAGCAGGUAGCUCGCUACCUUUUUUUGAAAAAAAAAGGUUUGUUAGGGGUCUGCCCUAUGAGGUACAGUUGCUAAAAAGAAUAUGUUUUCAUGGAUUAGUUUAGGAUAUAUUCUGGAAAAGUUAUGUGCAAGUAUUAUAUUACGUGGGAUAUACCCUAAGCUAUUGAGAUCCUUGAUUUUUUUUAUUAAUAUAUUCAGAUAAUUUAAAAGAAAAUUGAUAUUAGUAGAACAGUUUAUGUUAAUAUUAAAAUAAAAAAGUUGAAAUUAUGGCGAAAUAUAGUAUAUUACUUCUGCAAUCUUAAAAAUAGUUUCACCAUAUAUCAAUUUUAAGUUUAAAAAUACCGUACGUGUUUAUUAUAUAAAGAGCACUAUUUCGAACAUUAUUGGUAUAAAAUAGACAGUAAAAGCUUACAAACUAAAUAACCAAUGUAUUUAGAAAACGAAAUUUGAUCAAAUUCUUAUUUUACUAGCUUUCUUUGCAAUGUUUUGGCCUUUGAUACUUCUAGGUCUAUCGCAUGUCUUGUCUCCUUUCGCUCAUUGUGUCUUGAAUGUAAAGAGGACUAUCAAAGUCCUUUUCUAUGAACUCGCUCCAAAACCCGAAAAUAAAGAAAUGAGAAAUUUUCUUAUUUUCGCUUUCUGUAUAUUACGAUAAAUUAUUACGUUGACUUUUUCCCAAUCGAGAAGGAAUAUAUAGAGCAUUUGAAUUCAAAUCUUAUACCCAACCCGUAUAAGAAUUUGAACAACUCUUUUGAAUUUUUAGUAUUAAAAAAAAUAGAGAAGUGAUAAAACUAGUAUGAGAAAAGGGUCACUGUGGGUAGAAAAUGUGUAAAAUUUAUACCCUCUUUGAAUGUACUGGUAUUGUUGCUCCGUUGGAAAGCCUAAAAGAAUUUUUAGUUAUAUUACACUUUUGGUCCUCAAAGUAAAAGACACGGAGUUUUCUUAUUUAAAUAUUAUUACAAUAAAGUUUUGUAUUUGAAUUUAGUUAACUAAAUAUUACUGCCUAGCUUAUAUAUAUAUAUAAGUGAUGAUGUGACAUCGUUUAAAUGCCACAUCAAUUUUAAAUGAGUAACACACUAAAUUUUAGUUAAUUAAAUUGAAUUAAAAAAAUUAUUAUACUAAUUUAAAAAUUGUAUUAUUAUAUUAAAUUAAAGUAGAAAAUCAAAGAAUCUGCCAUUAUUUUUUUUUAUUUUUUUUGAAGGUACCUGCUGUAGGCACCUGGAUUCAAAACGUCCGUCACCAAUCAUCAUCACAUUGGACGGUGUUCCAGCGAAGUCGCGAAGCAUAACCGUACGUAAUCUGGUGAUUAUUAAAUGCCGAUUUAAAUAGAGGCCACAAUAUCGACGGAUAAAAAUUAAUUGGGCCGUGUAUAGGAGCUAAGUUUUGUGCGCAUAUGCAUACACGUGACCCCUUCUUCGAUAAAAGCUCCUUUACAGGGCACAGUUUUUCUUUAGUUCCGUGUUCUCUUUUUAAUUACUUCUGAUGAUUAAGUGAUUCCUCUAAAAAAAAAAAAAAAAAAAAAAAGAGUUGCUCGUGGAUUCCUAUUUGCUUUUGUUAAAAAAUGUAAGCAUAACGGAUCGAGAGCCAGUAGCAUAUCCGAUUUUAAAAUUGCCUUCUCAACUUUAAUUUUUUUUGAAAAAUUUAUAUUUUUUUAUAUUAUGAAUUUAUCUUCAAUGAAUUUUUUUUUGUCACUAAAAAAAUUGGUAAUUUUUAUUGUAGCAUAACAAUUGGUGACUACAUAAAAUUUAUGUAAAGUAAGAAGUUUGUUGAGAUCUCUCUGUAAAAUCAGAUUGCUAGGCUGCUGCGGAUCAGGAAAACGAUUGGGCUCAACUUUUAUUGAUAUCUAUCCUCAUCGCCAUUGUCGACUGCAACUGCUAAUCCGUUUUUCUUUGUUGCUACUACUGCCUUUGAUCUCAAACUCUCGCACCAGCUUCUCGCUUUUUAGGUAGCCAGUGACUGUCAAGAAAACACAAAUUUACAUUUUUAAGUAACAAAUUGAGAGCACGGAAGGUGCAAAUAGUAAAGUAUAAAAGUUGAGAGUGCAACACUAAUUUUAGAUGCAAAUGUAACUACCUUUUCUCUUUUAGAUUUUGUGGGUAUGUUUCAAUUGUGUACACCUAAGUAAUGAUAAUCAUUUUUAGAGCACCUGCUAAUUGUAUAUAAAAAAAAAGAAUAUAUAUCUUACACCUCUUAUUAAAGGGCUAAGAAUUGAUCCUUGUUUUGUCUUUCUUGUUUUAAAUACUAAAAUUUUAAUCAAUUUUUUAAACUUCAAAAUUGAGGACUAUAAAAUCUACAUUUUCUUUUCGGUUGUAUUGGCGGUAUUUCUUUUAUUUUAAUUCAAGAAGUCGGAAGUACGAACACAUAGAUUUUAUAGGUAUGUAAAAUAAGACGAAAAUUAAAUACCUGCCAAGAUCCAGGAUCAAAAUAAAAUAAGAUAACUCGCAGAGCGCCAUCGAGAAGAAAUUCCUGAUUAAUCUGCGGAAGCGUGAAGUCCGGCUAUGAUCUGGAAGUCACGAACCGAAUUUGGGUGAUUUGGUUUCUCCUUCUAUCUCAGGCACUCUACUGUAUGAUGUGGAACCGAUGGUAAUUCUUCACCAGAAUGCGUAUGAGAGGUGGCAGGAUCAAUACCCUUUUAUAUAGAGUCCAGAUCGACUUCCCAUCAAAGUCUGAAUAGGAUUCUAUUUAAAUUUAAAAUAUAUGGGAUAGCGAUAAAAUAUAUCAUAUCAAGUAGUUCUAUAUCUGUUAGGAUUGAUCUUUAUCUAUAACAAAUCCUAAUUUAAAUAUAAUUAAUUGGACUACAAUAUAUGAAAAUCCUAAUACGAACUUUAUUUUGUGAAAGAAGAAAAAAUAAACUACCUUAGAAUGAGACAGGUAUAGAUCAUACACCCACUUUUGAGUGUACCCCUAACAUUGUUCUUUUGCGAAUGCAGAAGUGGGAAUCAUACCACACCAUUAGUCACAACCUCAAGGCUACGCCAGUAAUUGCCAGGUGUAACGCUUUUGUCGAUGAAUGGAUAAGCUUUGCCUAUCAAUUUAAUUUGAUGAAUUAUAGGCGAUUGAUAAAAAUUCUUAGCUGAUUAAUUAGGCGAUUAGAUGGAUGGAGUGGCUGGCCAACAUGUCUUUUUCUCUAACUUUUAUCUUUGAUCGAAGACUUUACUUGAAUGUUGGAAUAACUUAUUCAAGGAUUACUUAUUUUAUGUAAAAUGUUUUAAAUUUUUUAUUGUAAUGUACAUAGAAAUAGUAGAUUCUGAGGACAGUGGGAAUUUGAAAAGAGGAAAAAGGAAUAACACCAAAAACAAAAAUAGCAAAUCACAAGCAAGUGAAAUUGUUCUCAUCCUUUACAAUCCGGCGAACAGGCGGGCCGGAUCUGAUCAUUUACGUUCACGAAUUUUGACUUUUUGGUCAUCUUAUUCGAAUUUAGUUGUUCCGAAUUUUAGAUCUUUUUAGGUACUAGAUCAUUCGAGUUUUGGAUUGUCCACUUUCAGGGAUUCACUUGGCUAGGUUUUAGAUUGCUCGUGUUUUCAGGUCAUCAAGGUCUCGAAUUAAUCACGUUCGAGGCUGUUUCCAGUAUGCAUAAGAAUAAUAUAUGACAUAAACUCCUGAUUUUUGACGAAAAAUAUUGAAUUCGCUAUAUCUGUAACGGAUACAAAUUUAUAUACAAGAAUAAUCUUACGUAAAAUAAUAACUUUAGUAGUAAAAAGUCAAUAUAUGUUGUUGGACCCAUACCUUGCUUUUAAACUUUGAGGUCAGCUUCUGUACUUAAUUAAUUAAUAGGAGAAGAUAAGUUAGUAGGAGUUUGGCCUAGUGUUUGAAAAGUAAUUUUGGACCCAAAAAUAAUUUUUCGCUAAAAAAAGCGUUUGACAAUUAUAUUUUUAAAGUUUGAUUUUGAUUUUUAGAAUUAUUUUUAAUUUUCGAGAUACAAAAUCAGAAACAACUAAAACUUGCUUCUUGAAAUUUGAUUCUGAUUACCAGCCGUCCCUAGAGCAAGUGGCAAAGGGCUUGAUGAUUGGUACCCGAGAUCCAAGUUCGAAUCCUACUUGAUUCAUAUUUUCAGCUAAGUUUAUUUCUAAAUGAAAUAAACAAAGCGGGUAGCGUGCUACCUAUCUCUCUCUCUCAAAAAAAAAAAAAGAAAUUUGAUUAUGAUUUUUCACUCUCUCAAAAAAAAAAAAGAAAAAGAAAUUUGAUUAUGAUUUUUCACUCAAUUUUAAAUUUUUAACUUUUGAUUUUUGAUUCAAAUUUUAAAUUUUAAAUUCAAAUUCAAAUUUUAAAUUUUAAAUUUAUAUUCGAUUUUUUUAAUUUCAAAUUUCAAAUUUUAAAUUUAAAAUUUAGAUACUAAAUUUCCAAUUUUUAAAUUUUAGAUCUCAAAAUUUAGAAUUUAGAAUUUAGAAUUUAAGAUAAAAUUUAAAUUUUGAAAUUUUAGAAUUUAAAAUUUUAAAAUUUUUAAUCUAAACUUGUAAUUUUUAAUUUUGAAGUUACAAAUUUUUAAAAUUCAAAUUUGAAUGUUUUAAAUAUUCAAAUUUUAAUUUUGAAUUUUAAAUUUAAAUUUUAAAUGUUAAAUAUUCAAAUUUAAAAUUUAAAAAUUUAAAAUUUAACUUUAAAUAGAUUUGUAGGGUAUGGUGUAUGAGAUGAUCUUAUACACUAGGUGCAGGCAAUUAAAUCAGAAAAAGGUAGUAAGCUGCCCGCUUUAUUCAUUAAAAGAAAAUGAAUUUGACAUUGGUGAUGAAAAUAUACAGGGCCUCCAAAAAAAGAAAAAGAAAAAUAGCAACUCAAUGAAGCAUCUCCUAGGAGCUCAAAAAUUGAUUGAUACUCUAAAGCAGAAAUCCGGAUUAUUAACCUUGUCUUAGAAGAUUAUGUUAUUCCGUUCAAUCUAGAUCAACCACCAAAGAGCAGAAAAAAGUGUAGCUCUUUUGAGAUGCAUCUGCUUAUCUUGGAGAUCUAGAAGCUCUACCCACAUUCCUCUGCUGUCCAACGAGGCUUGGAAGUUUGGGAGCCCGUCGUUUAAGCAAAAGAUCAAAUAACUAAUGAAUACACAUCUAGAGAAAAGGUGAUCACACGUUUCAUGUUUGUUUGCACAGAACGCAUGUACAUAGUUGUUCAUCUAUCCAACUGCAUUUGUGAAGAAUGUCCACAGUGAGGACUUUUUUUCUUAGCACUAGUCAAACAAAGGAUUAUAUUUUAAGUGGCAUUUUAAGAUUCCAAAUUUAGAAACUAAGAUGAUCUUUAUCCCACCGUCGGUGAUAAAGUUGUAAAAUGACUUAAGUGAGAAGAGGUGAUUACCGAUCUACCUCUAGCACACCUCAUCCCAGUCACUCGAUGGGCACUCAUUCCCAAAUAACUCCAUUAACUGGUGGACCUUUUGUCUAUUAUAAGUUGUAGAAAUUUCAAUGCCUUGGAGAAUGACAUGCCAUUUCCAGCCCCUUCUUUCUCAGCAAUUGAAAAUUUGUAAAUUCUUGUUUCGAAUCACAUCGAAGAUAUCGGAGAACAAAGAUCUGAGUGGGGCGUCUCUUACCCAACUGUCUAACCAAAAUUGGAUGUUUUUACUGUUUCUCAAAACAUGAGUUAAACUACAUCUGAAGCUGUUCUACAUCGUAGGACGCUUCUCCACCAAUGGGAGUAAGGCUUGAAGUUGCUACCUUCCUUGAGGGGCAUUCUCUUGCUGUAGUAUAAAGCCCUAAUUAAUUUGGUCCAAUGUGUAUCAUCCUCCGUAAAUAGUCUCCACCACCACUUCAUUAGGAGUGCUGUGUUCACUAUCUUCAUGUCUUUGAUCCCAAGUUCUCCGUUUUUACUCUUGCAUAUGUUUUUCUAGUUCACUAGGCAUGUUUUACCGCUAGUGCCUAAGCAUCCUUUUCAAAAGAAGGAUCUUCGAAGAGCUUUAAUGCGACUGUUACGUGCCGAAUUCCCUGACCCUUGACCCGGUCCAAGAUCCUCUUCGGGGAGCGUGUCGGGAUGAAAACGGCUUCAAAUAGUGACCCUCGAAGUUUGCGCCCUUCGAUUGAUUAAGCGAUUCGGCUGAUAAGGGAUCGAAUCAGCCGAGUUCGAAAACCUUUACUGUAGAUUCGGUUCGGCUAGAUGAGCCAAAUUGAUAAAAUGCACAGAGUUUUGGGUCGGCUGAUGAGCCGAAUAUAUGGAAUACACAGUGACUGGUCGGCUGAAAGAGCCGAAUGCCUUUAUAUAUUAUAAAGCAGAGUGUGCCCGAAGGGCAUACAGACUCUGAAAAUCUAGAUUACAAUAGAGUGUGCCCAUGGGGCAUACAGACUCCAGAGAUCUUACUUAAAAACUACUUCUAGGAAAGCAGUAAAUGCGGGUAAAAAAGAUUACAUGUAGACUACUCCUAGAAAACGAUAAAUGAAGGAAAGGAAAGUAUUGAAAAUGCGGUGGUCUUCUCGUUCAGGAGAGAAAGACCCCUAUUACAGGCUUCAAAGUUACUAUUUAUAAUAUCUUAUCAGCCCACAUUAUUGGUUGGUUAUAGUAGUCGGGGAAGUGGUGUAGCCAUGAUCAUGGAAGUUACGCCCUACUUCACACGGAAGUUACGCUCCACUUCUCAACCGUUCCAGCCUAAAUGCUCUUGACCUUCAGGCUCCUUAUUGCCGGCUCCUGGUGUACCACGUGUCUUUAUUUCUUUACCUCAUACGUGGGUUAGGUCGGCGUGUUAAUUUUAAUUUUGGUAUCAACAAUGCCGUCCCAGUAGUCUAUUGCAUGAACAUUCGGAUGACUAUUGGUGCCAAAUCGACUGCUCAAUAGCACAGCUGAGACCUAAGCUUUAGUUUCGCUGGUCUUGGUUUGCUUAAAGAAAACGGCUCAUUAUCAUCCCAACCGCAUAUACCUCGGGUUCAUCAGCCGAUUUUUUACUUUUACUCGAUUGGUUCGGCUCUUCUUGAACCGAAUUUUCUUCUAUCAAGCAUUUCCUCUUGAAGAAAGUAGCUCUUUACCAACCGCAUAUACCUCGGCUUCAUCAGCCGAUUCUUCACUUUCACUUGAUUGGCUCGGAUCUUUUUGAACUGACUGUUCUUCUAGCAAGGAUUUCUCCUUGCCUUUGCUUUGAUUUUUAUAUCGGCUCCAUUGCAGCCGAUCGCCCUCACUUUUCUUCCGGAAUUGCUCAUAUUGGGCAACUCUUACACCUAGAUCAAACAUGUUAGAAAAAUACUUAUCUUCAAAAUAGUUUUUUAUCUUAAAAUGUAGACCAUUUAACGCCAUUUUGGCGAACUCUGAUUCCUGCAUUCUCAUAAAGCACCGGAUUUUGGCUAUUUUGAAACGAUUCAAAUACUCUUCGACCGUUUCACCUGGCUUUUGUCGGAUAAAGCCAAGUCGGCGACCGAGAAUUGUGGCUCCGACCUAUAGAAUCGCUCAUGAAAUUUUCUUUCCAAUUUGCCCUAAUCUUGGACAGAAUUGGCUGAUAAACUUGUAUACCAAGUAAACGCCGUUUUAGUUAACGACGUGUUAAAUAAUCGAAGUUUCAAAAAUGAGUCAGCGGCCGCUUCUCUACAUUAGGCCGUGAACCGGGCUAUAUGCUCGACCGCAUUCUCGAUUUUAUCGCCCGAGAACUUGUCAAACUUCGACAUUUUCCAGUUUGCCGGAUACGGAUGUUCCANCCACUUUAUUUAUUGUUGUUUUUAGACGCCUUAUAUGUUUUAGACGUAUGGCGGGUCUGGGCACGCGCCGGGCGGGCUUCCGCUGGGUCCCAUGGCGUAACAGAAGGACAAGGUACCCCUCGCCACCCACUGCCUCGAGAAGGCGGCGAAAGUAUGGUGGAAGCGGUGGAAGCGGUUGAAACGGGAUCGGCCCUCUGACCUUCUACCAAUGCUCUGGGAGGAGUUUAAGGGGACAAUGUUUAGAAAUUACUUUUCCGACAUCGAGAAGCGGAAGUUGAAGGAGAAGUUUGGCAAAUUGAGACAGGGGGAUCGUUCAGUAGCAGAUUACGAGCAGGAGUUCUCCCAUAUUAGAGACUGUGUCCCAAAUGUGAUUAAAUAUGACGGGGACAGGGCCGAAUGGUUCUUGCGGGGACUUCGGCCGUGGAUAUAUCGGGCAGUGCAGUUGUUCAAGCUCACGACUUUCGCCGAAGUGUUUUAUAGGGCGCUGUGGGCCCAGCAUGGAGAUGCCCACGUGCGGGAGGAAUGCGAGCUGCUGACUGGACCCCAAGACAAGGGGAGGAAGCGAUCGGGCGGCGGUUCGAGGGGACAAUCUAGUUCAAGGAGGCCCCCGAAGUAUCCGCGGUCGCAGUCGUAGGGCUGUGGGCCGGAGCAAUGCAUUAUCUGUGGAGACUGGGGUCAUCGAGCGCCGCAGUGUAGGCAACGUCAAGGUAAAUGCUACGAUUGCAGACAGGAAGGGCACAUAAGCCGCAACUGUCCAACAAGGGCCUCGUCUGCUCCGUCAGCCGCGUCGACUCCAGCACCCCCGCCUCAUCAUGGAGGGGCCCCAUAUGAUCCGGUAUCAGCGGGACGCGCACUGAUGCCGUGUCAGCCGGAGGUGACUCGAUCAGCGCCGAGCGGACGGGUAUUCGCUGCUCAGGCCCAAGCCGAGGAGUCUACUCAAGCUGAGGAGCCUGACGUUGUGGCAGGUAUGGUUCUAAUUAAUGGAGUUCGCUCCAGGGCUAUGUUCGAUACAGGCGCCACGCAUUCGUUUAUUAGUAGAGCGUUUGCACGCAUGCAUGACAUACCCAUAGAAGCAAGUGGCAAGUGGCGAGUCGAAGGCCGUGAGUCGUCAUUCAAUACGUAUACAGAGUGCUCGUCGUGCCCAGUACAAGCAGGCGACUGGAUAAUGCCCAUCCGAAUGUUGGAACUCAAUAAACUGGAGGCGUAUGACGUCAUUUUGGGCAUGGACUGGCUCUCAAAGUAUUACGCCACGAUCGAUUGUAAGAAUAAAUCGAUCACCUUUCGGGAGCCAGGAUAGAAGGAGUUCGUUUAUCGAGCUUGUCGAAGCUCUUGCUUCUUCGCGACGGUAUCAGCGACGAGAGCUAGAAAGUUGGUCAACGGCGGCUGCGUAGCAUUUUUGGCGACCGUCGUGGAAGUGGACCGAGUGGCUCCGAAUUUAGAAGAAUUAUCGAUGGUGUGGGAAUUCCCAGAUGUAUUUCCCACAGAGUUACCGGGGACGCCGCCGGAUCGGGAGAUCGAGUUCGUUAUAGACUUGGUCCCCGGGACGGCGCCGAUCUCAAGGGCCCCAUACAGCAUGGCACCGGCAGAGCUAAGGGAACUGAGGGAUCAGUUGCAAGAUCUUCUCAACAAAGGGUUUAUCAGGCCGAGCGUAUCGUCGUGGGGAGCCCCGGUGUUGUUCGUGCGCAAGAAGGAUGGCUCGUUUUGACUCUGCGUGGAUUAUCGAGAGUUGAAUAGGGUCACGAUAAAGAAUAAGUACCCGUUGCCCCGAAUCGACAAUUUAUUUGAUCAGUUACAGGGGUCACGAGUGUACUCGAAGAUAGACCUACAGUCCGGCUAUCAUCAGUUAAAGAUUAAGUCGGAGGAUGUUCAGAAUACCGCGUUUCGCACGUGUUAUGGACACUAUGAGUACACGGUUAUGCCUUUCGGGCUCACUAAUGCCCCGGCAGCAUUCAUGGAUCUAAUGAACCGUGUGUUCAAAGCGUGCUUGGACUGAUUUGUCGUGGUCUUCAUAGACGACAUCUUGGACUAUUCGCGGAGCGACGAGGAGCACGCGGAGCAUUUGCGGACGGUGCUUCAAAUCCUUCGGGAGGAGAAGCUAUUCGCAAAGCUAAAGAAAUAUGAAUUCUGGCUUCGAGAGGUUGCCUUCUUAGGGCAUGUGAUAUCCGACGGCGGUGUUUCGGUUGACCCGAGGAAAGUCGAAGCGGUCGAGAAUUGGCCACGCCCGACGAACGUCACGGAGGUCCGAAGCUUCAUAGGUUUAGCGGGCUAUUAUCGACGAUUUGUGGAGGGUUUUUCGAGGAUUGUGACUCCGCUUACCGGUCUAACACAGAAGGGCGUCAAGUUUAUUUGGAGCGACGAGUGUGACCAAAGCUUCAACGAGUUGAAGAAAAGGUUGACGUCGGCUCCGAUACUCGCCUUACUGGUGCAGGGCGAGGACUUUGUGGUCUAUAGUGAUGCAUCCUAUCUGGGUUUGGGGUGUGUCCUGAUGCAGGGCGGGAGAGUGAUAGCUUAUGCAUCCCGUCAGCUAAAGGACCACGAGAAGAACUACCCCAUUCAUGACUUGGAGUUGGCGGCGGUGAUCUUUGCGUUGAAGUUUUGGAGGCACUAUCUGUAUGGUGCGCACUGCGAGAUCUACACCGACCACAAAAGUCUGAAAUAUCUAUUUACCCAGAUGGAGCUAAACAUGCGGCCGAGGCGGUGGUUAGAGUUAUUAAAGGAUUAUGAUGUCGAUAUUCUCUACCACCCCGGCAAAGCAAAUGUGGUCGCGGAAGCACUUAGUAGGAAGUCGACGAAGAACCUUGCUUUUGAUGUUACCCAGCAAACACCCCUAUGGCUGGAUAUGGAGCGAUUGGACCUUGAAGUGGUCACUCCCGAGGUCCCGACUCAGUUGAUGGCGCUUAUUGUUCAACCGACCUUAUUGGAGAGGAUCAAGAAAUUGCAACCUACAGAUCCGAGUCUCCAAAAGGUGCGGCGUAACAUCGAGGAAGGUCGACGUGGCGAUUUCAGUGUGGACGCCGGUGGCGCGCUUCGGUUUCGAAACUGGUGGUGCGUGCCUGAAAGUGAAGAGCUUCGCGAGCUGAUUUUGCAAGAAGCCCACCGGUCUCCAUACGCGGAUCACCCGGGCGGCACCAAGAUGUACCACGAGUUGAGAGCGCUCUACUGGUGGCCAAGGAUGAAAGUUGAUAUUGGGCGCUUCAUGGCAAAGUGUUUGACUUGUCAGCAAGUGAAAGCGGAGCGCCGAUUUUCAGCGGGAAAGCUUCAAAGCCUACCUAUCCCCGUCUGAAAAUAGGAGGACAUAUCGAUGGAUUUCAUCGUUGGCUUGCCUCGCUCGACAGGGGGCCACGAUGCAAUCUGGGUGAUUGUGGAUCGUUUGACGAAGUCGGCGCACUUUUUGCCGAUCCACACCAUCUGGGCGGGAGAUAAGUUGGCGCAGGUAUAUCUUGAUGAAGUAGUGAGGUUACACGGGGUACCGAAGUCAAUCGUAUCAGAUAGAGACCCCAAGUUCACUUCACACUUCUAGAAAAGCCUGCAGGAGGCCCUUGGCACACGGCUCGACUUCAGCACUGCAUUUCAUCCCCAGACAGACGGGCAAACUGAAAGGACCAUUCAGACUCUGGAGGAUAUGUUGCGAGCUUGUGUCAUCGACUACAAGGGAGGCUGGUGUAGGUAUUUGCCAAUGGCCGAGUUCGCCUACAACAACAGUUAUCAUGCUAGUGUGGAGAUGGCACCGUUCGAGGCUCUUUAUGGGCAGAAGUGCCGAUCUCCCAUUUAUUGGAGUGAUGUGGGCGAACACACGGAAUUCGGCCCUGAUGUGUUGCGAGAGGCCGAGGAGAAGGUCCGCAUUGCUUGCAAAAGGUUACUCACGGCGCAAUCUCGACAGCAAAGCUAUGCGGAUAGGCGCCGACGAGAUUUGGAGUUUGCGGUGGGCGACCGCGUUUUCUUGAAGGUUUCGCCUAUGAGGGGCGUUAAGCGAUUUGACUUUCGGGGCAAGUUAAGUCCCCGAUAUAUUGGCCCCUAUGAGAUCUUGGAGCGGAUUGGGACGGUGGCUUAUCGACUCGCGUUGCCGCCGAAGCUUGCGGAUGUACACAAUGUAUUUCACCUCUCCAAUCUUCGCAAGUACAUCCCUGAUCCCGAGCACACAAUGUUGUAUGAACCGCCGGAACUUCAGGAAGACCUGAGCUACGAAGAGUUUCCGGUGGCGAUUAUGUCGCGAGAAGUGCGCAAGUUAAGAAAUCUGGAAAUUCCCUACGUUCGAGUCCGGUGGAGCAAUCAUAGUGAUCGCGAAGCCACCGGGAGCUCGAGGAGGAGAUGAAAGCGAAUUAUCCUCACUUGUUCGAGGAUUAAAUUAAGGUAUGAGUUUAGAAUUUAAAGUUCUAAAUAAGUUUUAUGGCGUUAAGUUCGUUUUGAGGACGAAACUCUUUUAAGGUGGGAAGGAUGUAAGGAAGUGAAUUCUCGAAAUCCGAGGAUUAGACUUCGCUUAGAAUCGACUAAUUGUCGAGUGUGUAGGCUUUGGAAAGUCCGAAGGUGAUUAUAAUGCAUGAAGUGCAUUAAGGAAAGGUCCGCGAGAGCAGCAGUGCAAAAUCUGCACUGGAGCAGAAUUGCUCUCGGGGACCGUUUCCUAGUAAGGAGGGACCUGUCCCAUCAGGCUGGGAUUGCGGGGAUCCAUGAUGCGACCGGUCCCUGGCAGGGGAAGACCGGUCCCCGAACGUUAGCCCAGCGAGAAUAGCCGAAAUUUGGCUAAGUCCCGAAAAUCCAACUUUCGGGAACCGGUCUCUCGGACAUGGACCGGUCUCUCAGGCAGGGACCGGUUCCCGAACACGAAAUCCCUUCUGCCCGAGAUGGAAGGCUCUCGGGGACCGGUCUCCCCGAGCUGGGACCGGUCCCUCACUACGAAAUCAGCCUAGUGAAGGCUGUUGAAUAGAUGGAAAGUUGAGGGGCUUAUUUGUAAAAUAGCCUGUAUGAGAGGUGGGGGACCCCUCUCUUUCUCUCAUUUGCUCUCUAACCCUCUCAUACUCUUUCCCUCUCUCUCUCUAGAAAGAAAAGAAGGAGAAGAAGAAGAAGAGGAAGAAGAGGAAGGAAAGAAGAAAAAGUAGAAGGAGAAGACCAAAAAGGAGAAGAAGAUCAUCUUCUUCCCUCUCUCCUUCAAGCUAGAGCAAGCUUGGAGCUUGGUUUAGAGGUAAACCUCAAACCCAUCCAUGGUGGAUUUCUUGAGAUUGAGUUUUAUUGCUUAGAAAUGGUUUGAAUGAAACCUAUGGAAGCUAGGGGGAUGGUUCGAGCUCGCAUUUGAGGCUCGCACCACGGAUUUCUCCCUCGUUGCCAUUCUAGGGCACGGAUUUGGGAUUUUUAGAAAUCUAGGGUUUUGAUCUAUUUUAAUAGGUCGUAAACCAAAUUGCUAGGUCAUGGAAAGCGUCGGUGAAGACGGUUCGUCGAUACGACGAGCGGGUGCUAAGAUAUCGCCGAAUCAAGCGCUUAAGGGUUCGGAUCGACCCGAGACGUCGAAGCGUCGACCAAGGACUGUGAAAUUGAGUUUUCUACCAUUGCGGCAUCACCAAGAGGUGGGUAGUGACCAUCCCGAAGCAAUCGGGCUCCCUUUUAUGUCUUAGUAUUUUGAGAUCUUGCAUCCUAUGUUCACAUGCAUUGUAGAAUAAUUGUGCAUUGCCUUUCCUUAUGCUUUCCUAGCUAAUAUCAUAUUAUGCAUUAGUUGGUGGAUAUAGGGGAUUGGUGAGGAUGAGGUUGAGACUUGUAAUCCUAUAGUGUAGCGGUGAAAGAAUGAUGCAAUAGUCGAAAUAAAAGAACGAGUGGCAUCUAGUCGUUAAUUAAACAACGAACGAGUGGCGUAUGUGAGUCGUAGCGUAUAUGAAACUCAUUGACUAUGGUGAUAGUAACCCUAGAGGACAGGGCACCCUUGAGGUGGGAGAAUUGGAUCAUACUCAUUGUCUGUUCCCGACUUGUGGUGGUCGCUCCACACAAGUAGUGCGCUCCGGAGUCAGUCAUGAGGGAUGGCCUAUUUGGGGUCCCGUGGGAUAGGGAUGGCCUAUUUGGGGUCCCGAGGGAUGGCCUAUGUGGGGUCCCACAGACGGUCUCGAAUUCGUAGUAUCGAGAUGGCUAUGUGAGUAGUAGGCAGAUCCUUGAAUGAGCCACGAGACUAAUGAAUAAGUAAAUAGUCUUACUUCUUGGACAUAUGAAGAGCUAGUUGAUUAUCUAUUUCAUUGUGCAUGCAUUUUUUCAUAUACAUGAUUCGGGCACAGUAGCGUAGUUUUACUAUCUGUUUCCAUAGCUUUCUAUAUCUAUCUAUCUGUUUAUCUACUUGUGCCCACUUGGACCUAGUGGGGAGACCUGCGGAGUCGGCGGCCGAACCCACUGGGAAUUAUGGAAGAUAGUUAUCACCCCACUCUUUUCAGGUCCGAGCUCGGGUGUCCCCGGCGAGCGCGAGGAUCGUGGUAAGGGCUUAGCGUCCUAGUUGCAUUAGCUAUCCACCCAUUUUGCAUUAGCUCUACCCUGUAUUUAUGCUUGAGAGUAGAUGUUGUAUAGAGUGAGGUUGAAAGGACUUGUACACAUAUUUUGGAAAAAUGUAAAAGAUGGAAUUAAAUGUAUUGAGCUGAAUAAAUGUAAUAGAUAGAACUUUCUCUCUUUAUUUACUUGUAUGUCCCAUACUUGUAUCUUGCUCUUAUUCGUUAGCACUGGUGGUGCUCCUCGCGAUCGUGUAUCUAUGAAUUGACUCCUGGGUAAAUUCUUAUACAUGAUCAGUUGGGUAGCCUUGGGCGGACAGGGGAGGUCCUGUCCGUUCGGCGUCUGUUCGACGCGCCCGGACCGGACCAAAUUAGUAGCGGUCUCGGGGCGUGACACUAAUGUACACUAUGAUGUGUACUCGGCCUAACAUAAGCUACUUUAUGGACCUGAUCAGUCAUUUUUAGUCCAAUCUGGGAUUGGACCACAGGAAAGUAGUUAAGAGGAUACUUUGCUACUCUAGAGGGCUUUUGGAUUAUAUCCUAUGCUAUCGGGGUUCAGAUUUACGUCUUGUCAGUUAUAGCAAUGCGGAUUGGGUUAAUGACCUUGAUUGAAUGUAAAUCAACCUCAGGGUAUGCAUUCUUGCUUAAUAAUUAUGCAAUAUCUUGGAGUAUCAAGAAGCAAACCUAUGUGGUUUUGUCCACUAAGGAGGCAAAGUUCGUGGCAUGCUCUGCAGCAGCUCAAGAGGCCUUUGAUUGAAUAUCUUAGGGUUGUUGUGUUUUCGUUCCUGUGGCGAUCUAUUAUGACAGUAUGGCAGCGAUUGUACGCUUGAAGGACCCCAAAUAUUAUAGCAAGACUAAGCAUAUCGAUUUGAAGUAUCACUUUAUUUGUGAGGUAGUGGCACAGAAGGAAAUAUUCUGGAACACAUUUCUAUGAGUCGUAUAGUUGCCGAUCCUCUAAUUAAGCUGAUUAUCAGAGAAUUAUUUUUGGCUCAUGUUAAAGUCCUUGGAUUCUAUAGGAUUUGAUUGUGUAGGCAAUCGAUUAUUUUAAUUUUUUUAUUAUAUUCUUUGAUUAUUUAAAUUUAAAUUAUUCUUUUGACAAACAUAUUCAUUAAGAUUAGCACAUGUACAUAUAUAUCUUAUAUUGUUGAAGAAGGAAUUGAUUGUAUGUCGCAGAUUGAUUGGCUCUCUCACAUAGACAAUCAUUUUUUCGGUACUAUAGAGAACGAGCGAAAAUCAAGGCAUUAAUGGAAGCCGUGUUGGUUGGCACCAACAUGAGGUCAUAAGCGAGAUUGCAUACGGAUAGUCCUACAAUUCAUAUGGCCUGUACAAUUAGAGCUAGAUGUGAGCUCACUGUUUGGUGCUUGAGCUAGCGAGUAAAUGGAGAACUCAAGUCUAAACACUCUGGGAGUGACUUAGCUAAGAUUCAUAUGGCAUUGAAAGACAUACGCUCAUUGAGAUUCUCUGUCAUAAUAUGUAUUUCAUACUACACAUCUUAGGUGACCAAAUAAAGGAGAUGGGUGAAUGGGUUGCUACUUUCUCACUGUGUGAGUUCCUAUGGACUCAUUUUGAGCCUAUGCGUUUAGUGAUUUUUGACUAUCAUUAGGUAAAAGAAUUGAUGUUGCUAUUUUGACAUAUUUUCUACGGCUAUAAGUGAUGCAGCUUUACGGGCAUUGCUGGAAAAACAAUCAAUUUUGAACUUAGUGGCAUGAGGGCUUAAUGAAAAUCAGUUGGAUUACAUUGAGACACUUUGACUUAUUGUUGAUGAGUUGUGUCGCUUCAGCAUAACGAAAUAAUCAUGAGAAUAGUGUCAUAAUAUUCAUAACAGAGAUUAGCAUGGCUUUUUGAGGGAUUAGUGAUACUGAAUCUAAUAUAGUCUAAUGGUCUAGGGCAUCACGAGUUUAAUAUUCUUUUUUGAGGGUUGAUGUAUGUUGACCUUAUGCGGUUUCUAUGUAGCGCUCCCAAAAUACCAGUUGAGUCGGUAGUAGCACUGUUCAUUUUCUUGUAUGAAUGGAAUCAAUAGUGGUAUAAUGUUGAGAAAAUUGUUACGAUGAUAUCGAUCUCGUUAUGUGCACGUGAGAUGUUGGCAUUUGGUUAAACCGAAUCAGGUGCGCCUAUGAUCAGGCUCGAUCCGAUGGUUAUUAUGUUUUCUAAUUGGUCUACACUUAAUCUCGCUUUUAAUUUGGAAAGCUAAUUAGAGGUAUCUUCUAGCCAUAAUAGGAUAGCAAUUACAAACCGACUCGGCCUAAUAUUCUACUUACCUAUUAGAGUAUUGGGAUCCUGAUAAAUAUACAGGUGAUUCUUAUAUAAAGAUGUACAAGAAAAAAUAGAAAAAUGCUCAUAAAUUCAUGAACAAUUUUUUAGCUAUCUUGUGAGAGAGCAAAACCAAUAGUCUCCAUUAACCUAUUGCUUCUAGAAGGUUUUGAACGGUGGAUUAUAAAUCUAGCUCGUUCGUAGCUCAAUUUACUACGGAUUUGGAGUGUUAGAAGACCUUUGUGAAUGAUCCAAAAACACCUAAAUCAAUCCCUACUAUUCGUGUAAUAUACCGAAACUCGGUAGAGUAUAUCGAACUUUAGUCAAAUUGACCAAAGUGUGCGAGAGAAAUAGUUGGACAAAGUUCAUUUGACAUUCCAACUAUGUUGGAAGGGUUAAAGUUGAGUUCUAAGGAAGUUAGAAAGGUUUUAGCAUUGCUCGGCGCGAAUUGGAGUCGAAACAAUGCAAAAUUGAAGUCUGGAGCAUUGUUAACCGGUAAAGCAUUGGAGGAGUACCGGUACGAGGCAAGCACCCGAGAGUAGUAGCUCUCGGAUUUUGCCUCUGGAGGUCUGCUUAACCGGUGACACCCCUGGUGCGUACCGGUACCAUGCUGCAACCCGAGAACAGCCAGCUCUUGGGUUGGGCUGUUGAACAAGGGGUGUACCGGUGACGCCCACCCGUGUAUCGGUACCUUGCACCUCGAAACAGCAGUUUUGGUCUGCUGCAAAUAAAAGGAAAUGGAGGGCUUGGUUGCAAUUAUAGCAACUUAUAAAAGACCCUACACCCCUCAUCUCUCAUUCCAGCAGUGAAUACACCACUCCUUCUCAUUUCUCUCCCUCUCUCUCUCUAGGAACUCCCUCUCAAGGUGGUUUGGAGGAGAUUAGAGAAGAUUGGAGGAGAUUUUAAAGCUUUUGGAGGAUCUAGAGCUCACCUACACGAAGGAGCUUAGAGAGCUUGUAGGCUAAGGUGAGGUUUCUUGAAAGAUUGAUGUUAGGGCUUAGUUUUAUGCCCUAAAUCUUUUGAUUUUGGUCUUCUUACAUGAAUGGAAACCUAGUAGAAGCCUUAGAAACCUAUGAAAAUCCAUGGUUGCCUAUGAGUUCUCAUGGUGGAUUUCUAGGGUUUGUUUCAAAUGCCCUAAGAAUGGUCUUAAAUGGUUCUAGAUGAGUUCUUAGAUGAUGAUCAAGCUUGCUUUUGCUUGUCUUAGAGAUCGAAUUGGUGUAUGUUGCUAUAUGACAUGUUAGGGCACCCAAAAUUGGGGCUUUUGCCAUAGAUGGGUUUGGAGGUAAAUUGACCUUGUAGAAACCAAAUUGGGGGUAUUUCUAACUUGUUGGUAGACUCUGUUUGUCGAUCCGACGAGUCUACACAGAGAUAUUCUGGAAAAAGCCUAAUUUGGUUUCGUUUUGCCGCAGGCGAGAGAAUAGGCGUCCAAAAAUCACGAAAGUUUAACCGUAGCAGGCACCCUAGCAACCAUAUGAGGUGGGUGGUGCUUUCCGAAAUCGAUGAAUUUUUUUUUAUGUCUAAAGUGUCAUUUUUGAGCAUAUGUAUGUAUAGUAUCUUCAUGCAUUGUAGGGUUGAUUGAGAUAUGUUAUUUGCAUGCUUGUAGUAUAAAGAUGCAUAUGAGAAUGUUGAACAAAUGUGUAAACCCUUUGUAUGCAUGAAUGGUGACAAAGACCUAGAUGAGGUAAGGAACAAAAUGACAUUAUGACAUAUGGAUUGUGUGGCAUUAGUAAAUAAAAAUAAAUGGUAUAAUUGGACUCUUAGUUGAGUGGCAUCAAUGAGUUUUGAAUGCUAGAAUUGAACACUUAGUGUGUGGCAUUAAUGAAUAAAAAAUGCAUGUGAAUGAGUAUAAAGAACAUGUAGUAUAAAUGACACUAGUGAUAUUAAAGAAUGCAAGUAAAUGACAUAGAUGACAUUAUGACAUAACAACCUUAUAGUUAAGGGUCAUAUGAGCAUUGUUUAUAGUUAAGGAUUGGAUUGAACUUAGUAUCCUUAUAGUUAAGGAUUGGAUCAUACUCGCCUAUAAGUCCUGGCUUGAGGGUGGUAGUUCCCCCCUCAAUCGAUGAGCUCCGGAGUUAUCAUCACUGGGUUGGUGCUGUUCCCCAGAGGACGGUCUCGUCCGGUCGUAGUAGUCUCCCCGAUGUUUGGGAGUAUGUGUUGGUGAGUUGUAGGCAAACCCACGGGUUAGCCAAGAGAUUGGGUAAUGAAAAUAAGAUCUUGCAUUCAUCAUGAGCAUUCUAUUUGAGCAUAUCAUUGAUUAUAUACUGUUCAGGCAUAUUAGCUGCAUUUGUAUAGUUGGUUACUAUCUCUCUAUUCUUCUAUUAUGCCUGAUUUAGACCUAGUGGGAAAGUCGGCGAGGUCAGCGGCCGAACCCACUGAGAACUUUGUUGUAGUUCUCACCCCACUAUUUUCACAGAGCCGGGACCAAGUGAGCCGGUCGACGAUCACGGUAAAGGUAUCACGCCAUAGACAAGGACCACCCGAGUUGAUUUCAUAUUUUGUUUAGUUGCAUACCCUUAUGUAUUAUCUUUUGUAUUUGAUGAUUAUAGAUGUAUGAAUGAUGGUUAAAAUGUAAAGAGAGCCUAUGUUAAAUGUAAAAGUUAUAUUUUGGAAAUCAUGUGAUGUAAAGAGAAGAAAUGAUGUUUAAAGAAAAGAAUUUAAAAGUUGAAUGCAUGUAUGUGGUUAAAAGUUAAUCAUAUUACUUGUAUGAUUGUAUAGUUUAGAUUCUUUCACUUUGGCUUUUGCCUGCCCUCGUGCAAGCCAUAUAUUUAUAUUUCCACAUGUGCAAUAUAUCUACUUGAAUUGUACUUGUGUUGAGCCUUGGACGGAUAGGAGAGGUGCUGUCCGUUCGGCGUUUGUUCGACGCGCCCGAACCGACCAAAUAGGCCGGUCACGGGGCGUGACAAUUCGGGACUUAUCGAAUUCUAAUGCGAGUCACUUCCGAAAAAAAUAAGAACGACUAUUUUUUGCUGCAUUCUACAGAAGCUAACUCUUUUGCUUGACAACGAAAGAGAUAGUAAAUGUCCAUGAAAAAGGCAAGCUACUAAGGGCUGGUUUGAGAAGUGCUGAUUGGGAAGCACUUACAAUUUUUUUUUUUUUUUUAAGAACCACAAGAUUCGUGUUGCAUGCAAAGUACAAGAUAUGCUUCUGCAGUGAGGGUGAAAGAAGACAGCAAAUAGUGCACAUUCUAUCUCAUCCGCUUCAUUUUUUAAGAAAAGACUCCCCUUAAAGAAUAUGUCGGAACCCCUGAAUGUUCCCUCAGUUGCAUAUAAGACAGAAGAUGGGAAUUAAAGACAUGUUGGUGUAUGGAGUGCGCAAGAAUAGUAAAUAAGUAGUUAAUUUAUCCACUUUUUUUCGAGAAUAGUUUUCUCUAGGAACGCAUUUUUAGUCCUUUUAUUUUCCCGGUGUGCUACUUGGUCAAUUGCUAAACUCUUCCAUAGAUUGCGGUUCCGUAUGUGAUCAGCUCUAAAAAAGAAUUGGGGACGGUUGAAUGAUGUUGUAAAGUAACCUUUCUAAUCUGUUUUUGAUUUUUUAACUGAACUAUAAAAAUGAAGUCUUUCUGUAGAAGAAUUAAUUUUUUCUAGAAACCCAAUGAUUUUGAUAGUUAAGAUAUAUAUACAUAUGUAGCAAAUUUAGAGAUUGAAUUUGUUAUCGUAAAGUACAGGACGUACGAGAGUAAUGGCUGGGACAUAUUACAAAAAUUUGUCAAUAUACUUUGUCCUAUUUUUAGGUAAUUAAAAAUUAUAUGAUGAUAGGCAAAUUUGUGUUCUCCAAUAAUUAUAUAUUAUUAUGAAUCACUAUCGGAUAGAAAUUUUGAUACUGAACUCGAAAAUAUUAAUCUAUAAGCCGUAACGAUUAACUACAGUAAAGCCUUCCUGCCGCAUCGCGUAGGCUCUUAACUAGUCAUAACAAUAUUCUUCAUUCUAUGUUAGGAGAUCUUGAAGUUUAUUUAUCUGAUGAAUGCCUAGGCACUGCCUCAAUUCUAGCCGCUUAGAAAUAGCUACCUAAAAAAAUAUAUGAUAAAUUACGUGCAGCAAAAGAAUAUGAUAGAAAUUAUGUAAGUGAUAAAACGUUGCGUAGAUUGGUUGGUCUAGCUAAGCUAAUUGAUUCAUGUAUGAACUCCUUACAUAUAAUAUAUAUAAGACAAAAAUAUUAUAAAAGGUUCCAUGGUGUAGUGGUUAGCACUCCAGACUUUGAAUCUGGCGACCUGGGUUCGAAUCCCGGUGGGACCUUUUUGCCCAAAUGUGUUCACUUUUUGCCUAAAUCUCACACUUCUAAAUGUGUCCUCUCUUUGCUGAGAUCCUAUUUUGCUUAAAGCUACUCCUUUAAAACCAAAAAUAUUUUAGCUUUAUUAAAAUUAGAGAGUUUAGUACUGGUGCGAUACCCGAAAAUUAAGAAUUUAUUUAUUUGAAAAAUCUAUAAGUUAAAUCUAUAUUUUUUUAAGUAGACGUUGAUACUUGAAGUCAACAUAAUACAAUAUUAUUGUUGUACAAAGGUUUGAAAAUAAAUCUACGUUGCUCAAAAGUAACUAUUAAUUAGUAUAUAUAUUCUUUAUUCAAACCUUUAAUCUCCUAUUUUAAACCCUCCCUUAUGUCAAGCAAAUGCCAUCCCGCGAACUAAAGUCCGACCUUUUAAUCUCUUAUUCUAAACUUUAUAAAAUACUAUAUAUUCAAAUUUAAUUAUGAAUUAAAGAGAGUAAUCACUAAGGAAGAAGUGAAGAGUUAGAAAAAAAAAAAAAAAAAAACGAAAUAGUAAUAGCUAGUAAUAAAUAAUCAACAUAAAUGAGUUACAAUUGUAAUUUAUGAAUAAGUUAUGAUAAAAGGGAGAUGAAAGAGUUAAAAGAAAGUAAAUUCCAAAUGGUAAAAAUUAAAUUAUUGAAAAUAUAUAGUAAUUUGAAGGAUUUUAAAUAAAAUUAAGAGUCUAUAUUUAUACUUCUAUAUUUUAUUAAGUUAUGCUAACAGAUAAAUGAUGGGUUAAAAAGAAUAAAUUGGAUAUAGUAAAAAGCUAAUUAUAAAUAAUUAAGAUAAAAUAUGUUAAAAAUAUAGAUAUAUGAGUAAGUUAUAGAGAAGCAAAGGCGAAGGGUCAAAAAAAAGUAAAUAUUAAAUUGAAAAAGCUGAUUACCUAUUAACAUACAUAAAUUCUCAUUGUUAAAAUGUGAUGCGGCUCUAUCCCCUUAAUUUGGGGAUAAAUGGACCCACUGUGUUUUUCUGAAAUAUAAAAAUGUUUAAACACCAUUUUUUAAUAGUUUAAGCUUUUAGAGUACAACGGUUAUUUCAUAUGGUAUCAGAGCAGGAGGUCCUGAGUUCGAGUCACGUCGAGCUCCUAACAUAUUAAUUUCCUUCCAGUUUUUAGAGUACAACGGUUAUUUCAUAGUUUUUUUUUUAUUUUUAUUCCAUCUCUAUGUAUCCAAUCCGGUCUCUGUCAUUCCAAUACUUUACUAAUGAGAUCCAAAGCCGUCACAUGUGGCACUCUCUUACCCUCUUCUUCUCCACCACUUUCUGCCUCUCUACCGCCUGAUGUCUCGGUAAUCUAAACGCUCUAUCUGGAAGCUCUUUCACAAUAGGUUUCUCUAUCUAGGGGUGAUCUCCUCAAUGAUUCAAAAAUGAUGUAUAGUAGCGGUCACGGCAGCAGCGGCAAAUUUUUGAUUGAAAUACUUUUUUGAUAUGUUAUAAUUGUUACACCAUUUCUAUUUGAUGAUUUUGUUAUGAAAGCUAUUAUAAAACCAGAGGCUUGCAUGAUAUAUAAUUUUUCUCGAACACCGUUGAUUAGUUUUGAAAGAUUGAUUUUUUUUUUUAUCUUAUCAUAAUUUAUUUAUUAUUUAUUGUUUAUUGAUUUUUUAUUAUAAUAUGGUCUUUUAAUGCUAUUUCUCUAGUUUAUUUAUAUUUCAUGUUCUAUAAUUUUUUCAGCAGCAUCUAUCCGCCGCAACAUGCGGGUCACUAUGCUCGUAAAUCUAUUAACCUAUAUGAAUUUCCAAUAAUUUUGCCACAUGGUAAGUUUUCCUCCAUCCUCACGAACCCUUUUUUUUUAAUUGAUCUUUAAUUUGGCUUUUGCCCUCCCCUCCUCUCUAUUCAAUAACCUAUAAUUAAUGUGUUUUUUAAUAUAUACGUUUAGUUUUUAGCCAUUUACUGUUUCUCAAAUAAUUUCUAACAUGCAAAAUUAAAAAGGAGAAGAUAAAUAGUUACUACAUUCAAAUAUAAAGAUUGGAGAAGAGCAAGGGAGUCCUCCAAGCUUUCGGAUUUAGGGGUAGGUUUGGAAAAUGAAAAUCCGAAACCUAAUUUUUCUUUUCUUUAUUUUAAUCGCAAAUUCUUACUAAGUAUCAAUUUAGAAUUAAUUUAUUUACAUUAUUUUUUAUAUAGUGGUUGUAUCAAUCAAGGAUUUGAUUUAUAUGCAUUAUUUCGAUUAAUUUAGAUGUUAGUUUUGAUUUUAUAAUUGAUGUAGUAGUUCUGACCCGCAACUUCUGAUCAUUCCAUAUCUAAAAGAGUACAAAAUCCUGCAAAUUUUUAUGAGAUUUUCAUCACCAUUGUCGUCAUCAUCGCAACAUUAUCAUCUCUAUCUUCAUAUGACCUUUUGUAAGUUUUUUUUAAUGAUGAUUCUAGACAUUUAUCGAUUUUUAAUGGUCAUAUUGGUUAGCACAAUUCAUAUAUUUUUCUAUCCAAAAUGUCACGCCCCGGGGUCCCUUUCAGUUUAAAAGAUAGCGGAAAAGCGUCUGGAAAUUUUUUUUUUUUUUUUUUGAAAACCUGACCCCAGAGUAUGCCAGAUCCGCCACAAAUACAGGGAAUCCACUGUGCACACGGACAGAGUCUCCCCUGUAUUUGCACGGCGUCGCACAAAUACAAGAAGCAACCCAGGUACAACCACAACCAAAUGAAUAUACAAAUAACCAACAAUUAUAUAUUCAUACACCAUUCACAUCACAGGUUCACAUUUAUAUAUUCAAUAUUUAAACAUACAUCCACAUCUAUCAGUUAAAAUAUUUCCAACUCAGAAACAGGUUUUGAAAUACUAAGAUACAAAAUCCACAGAAAAUCUUUUGAAAAACUGUUCCCUACACGGGAACUUUUAACUUUUAAAAAUGCUACCACGAGGGGUAGAAAACCUUUUAUUUUACAAAAUCCAGAAAUCCUUUUAUUUUAACGUAAUGAAAUACUGAACCACAUAAACCAACUAAACUAUACAUCAACAGAAAUAAUAGGGGUAAUAACUAAACCGAAAUAACCUGAGUCGGAAGCUCUAGCGACCGCUACGUAUCUCACGUCUCGUCUCAACCCUCACCGCCCGCGAUAUCUGAAAAAUAGUGGGGGAUGUGAGAACAUGUAAACAUGUCUCCCCUCCCAGUGGGUACCGCAAGCCGAAGAAGGCGAGGAGUACUCACCGGAUCAGGAAGAGCUAUACAACAACACGGAUCAGUGGAAAUAUAGUAGCAACAAUAAUAAACGAAAGAGGUAUGUAAGGUAAUGAGCAGAUAUACCGAAUACAAUAGCAAUAAACUGAAAGAAAGUAAGAACUAGACUGAAUAACGGCUACUGCUACUGUAACUGAAAUCGAAAGCAUACAUGAAUAUCUACUGUAGUAGCAAGACAACUAUAAAGUAAGAACUGUAAAUAUGCAUGCAACGACUGCUACUAUAGACAUAUGCGUCAACUGACGAUAACCUCAAAAGUACCCAAUCUCGCUGCCCUAUUGGUCCGAAGACCUCAGGCCCAUGCCACACUGCUCAACCUGUACCUGACCCUCGCAAUGAAGCCCCUGGGUCAGAAGCAUAGUACCUGACCCUCGCAAUGAAGCCCCUGGGUCAGAAGCAUAUACCCUCGCAAUAAAGCCCCUGGGCUCACGGGUUGGCAAUCCAACCACUUUUCCGGAAAAGAACACCCUCUUGCGGUGGAUCAGACCGCUGGUGUUCGUGAAAUGCGUACCUGCAGUGGCGAUCAAUGUAGUAUGCUCAAAGAUCUUCCAUCGGCAACUAGCCGACAAUCCAGCCCCUCAGGGCACAUCGACCGCAUGGGUCAUCAACUGUAAGGAAGCACAAGAACUGACCACUCAGGUCAACUAGGAUGGAACAACAUCGACAUCCUCUCAAACAAAUGCAAAUACUGCUCGAUGGAUCAACUAAAGUAUAGAUGCAAGAAUCAACCA
rnacentral:lncRNA from 1 species